rnacentral:lncRNA from 1 species
UCUCAUUAUGAGCAUCUUGCUCCCCCAUCUGUCUCAAGGCGGCUCAUGUCUUAAGUGGCAUUCUUACCUCGAAAAGAGUAAACACUUGUUAUUAAACACAUUUUACGGUCAUUCCUAAAGGAAAAGGUGGUUUCUAGAAUAGGGAAUCUAUACGGUCUCUUUGUUGUGAAAUGUGCCUCGAUUCACAAUUCACAAUCAAAGUUUCCACAUAAAGACCCAAUACUCCGUUGGAUCAAAUAAAUAAGUUUUAGGACCUAGACAACCUAGGACUCUAAUACCAACUUUGUACUAGCCCAAUUUUCUGGGCCAUGAUCGGUGGAUGGACCUAAUGGGCACAGCCCACUAAGCCCAAGCAAGCCUCUUUAUGUAGUCCUUUCCAUUAUUUCAUCACUCAUUCCUACAGUCACAUCUCGUAAUUCUUAACUAUAGGUAUUUCAAUAAUAUACUAUGACCACCAAAUAUUUACAUUUGUAUUAUCUCAAAAUAAUGUCACCCAUUGCCAACUCAUAGUGGCACCAUAAAUCAAAGUAUACAUAUUUUGAUCAUAACAUGCAUCUCAGUGAUUUACAUCAUGUGUACGUAUACACAAGCAAAAGACUUUUAACUACUAAUGGAGUGACUUUGGGUGAAGGUAUAGCUACUGAAUGCCAUGAUACCUACCAAAAGGCGAAUAGGAAAGGACACCUCAAUCUAGUCCCAACUACCUCCGAAUCUAAAAACAUGACGUUAACAAGAAUGAGUAUAAACCCAGUGAGCGAACAUAAGAAAGGAAUAAGCAAACAAUAAGGAAAGUUUUAGAAAAAAUGAUGCACUCAAUUUAAAACAAUAUAGUUUAGCUUAAUUUCUUGUUAAAACCCCUCAAUUCAACCCUUGAUUACUUAAUCCCUUAGUGUUGAAGGGUCCAUAAUCAACAAUGAAGUUAAAGAGUGAAAACUACAGCAAAUAUCCAAGCAAGGCAGAGAGUUUCUCGCUGCAACGAGAAUUCAAUUUCACUGUAGUGAAAUUCUGGGUAGGAACCACCCGAGAGUUUCUCACUACAGCGAGAAUGCAUUCUCGCUGUAGCAAAAACCAAGGUUGGGUCAAGCCCCCAAGCACCCAAGAGUUUCUCGCUGCAGCGAGAAUGAAAUUUCGCUGUAGCAAGAAACAGGUCCAUUAAGUUAGAAGAAUUCUUGUUACAAAGAAAAUCCAUUCUUGCUGCAAUGAAAAUCAAUUUGGAAGCAUUUACAAUGUCAACAUUCAACAUUCAAUGCAAUCAUAUAAUAUUUUCCUUAACCUCUCUAUGGUAUGUGUAAACAUAUACAACUACCGGCUCACCAACUCGUGCACUCCCACACUGCACAUAGCUAAAAUCAUCAUUUGCACUCCCACACUACACAUAGCUAAUACUAUCAUGUGCACUCCCACACCGCAUGUCACGACCCGGUACUCCCCUCGAGCCCGUGACAACAACCGCGGUGUCCGCAUCGACACUCAUUACCCGAAAUGUCAACCAAAACCCCGUAAGGCUUUAAUAUCAGUUUAUCAUUUCCCCUGUUAGUAACCGUAGCCAAAUAUCAUGUUCUAAAAGAUUUUAAGCUAUUUCCAACUUAAAUCAAUAAAAAAAAUGAUUUCUGUCUCACAGGGGCAUUUUGGUCAUUUUUCCUCAAAAAUCUCGAAACCAACUAAAAAUGUAGUAUGCGAGUAUAAAACACAUAAUUAAUAAUAAAAAAUAAGCUUAGAUAUCUAAAACAUUCAUUUAAAGUGAAAUUAUAACUAUUUGAAUAUAAUAAAAAUAUUCAAUAAAAUAUUUUAUUUUCUUAUAAAAUAAUAUUUAUGCAGUUACCAGUAAAUAAUUUUUGUAGCGUAAAAGCUAAAUAAAUUCAUACAUACUGUAAUACAGAUAACCAAAGUAUAAAAUUUAAUUUACAGUAACACGUGGGCCCACGAACGACCAAAAGUAUCAAAAGCGGUAAACCUACAGUUUUUGAGGAUGCAAGUCCAACUGUAGCCCUUAACGAAAUGAGUUAUUUACCAACUAUCCUGAGCCUAAAAUGGGUGGAAAGAAGGGUGGUGAGAUUAUACAAUCCCAAUGAGUAAACAAAUACCAUAGAAAAUAUCUAAAGUUGAGUAAAUGGAGACAGAAAAAAUAGUUUAUCAUAUUGUAAUUCAUCACCUUUCAACUCAUUUCAACCAAAUAAACUUAAUUCAUAUAAAUCGAGUAUUCAACAUGGCUUAUGAAUUUCUCAAAAGCUUUUGCUCGUGCCAAAAUCAUUCUUAUACUUAGUUAUCAAGGAUACCUUGGCCGAGGGCUAUCACAACUGAGUCCGCAAAGGCUGAUAAAAAGUUAUGUACGCAUAAAUUAUGUUUUUAUUUUAAAAACAUAGUCAUUCCUUAGCGUUGGCUGAGUUCACCCUCACGUGGUGGUUUGGCGUGAAGUGAACUUUAAAGUGUUAACCUCAGGAGUUAUCCGUCCGCGCCUCUCAUACUGAGGUAUGACUAUAACGGGGUUACCGUACGUCCUCUAAUAGGAUGGUCCACGGAACCCGUACACUGCAGCGACUAAUCAAUAACCCACUAAUUCAAUAAAAUUUAACAGCAUGACAUGGCAAUUUUAUCAUUAUCCAGCCUAUCAAGGCAAACAACAGUUUAUACAUUUUCAACAUAAAUACCAAUUCAGCUAUUCAUGCCAAUAUUGCCAUAAGCCAAUCAAUUAGAACCAUAAAUUCACAAUACAUCAAAUGGUCUCCAAUUACUUUAUUUUCAAAGCCAUCAUUCAAUUUCAAGACAAUUUUUAAAAUAAUUUCAUUUAAACACAUUUUGUUUAUAAAACAUAAAGAUUUACCAUUUAAACUCAUUUUUCAUAAAAUCACAAAAUCGGAGAAAAACCAUUAUAGAUAAUUAAGAUGAUAGUAAGGUUACUCACUAUUUCGGGAGUCGAAUUCCGAGUACUCCGAUUCUUGAUCCUCGGGUACUAUCUCUUUACUUUUGCCAAAAUGCUCACCACCUAGACAUAAUGCACAAUAAGCCAUUUACUAUAUUUGUGCUAAAUUGUUAUAAAACCAAUUCAGGCUCUAUAUUAAUGCAUGAAAUGGGAUGCAAAUUGUUCGGAUUAUUGUCUAAACACGGUGUUCUACACAAAUUCAAUUGUGUACCUAAAUAAAACGGUAUUGGCCUAAUUCGAUCUAUCACUCGAUUAAUUGGCCAAUAUGUCCAAUUUAACUCCAAAUAAUUCAAUUUUUCUUCUAAUUCUCCAAAUCAUCAAACACAAAUUAAAUAACUUGAAAUAUGGCGAAAUCAUCCUCACAUUUUUUCUUGGAAAAUUCGGCCAUCGUGGGUGCAUAACACUAUAAUUUUUCCUACAUGAUUCUCACACCAUAAAUCACUAAUUCCUAACCAAAUCACUUGAAAUAAAAUUAAAAUCAUCAUCAAUAUUCUACAUGGAGAAUUCGGCCAAUGAUGGGUGAUGGAAGAACAUGAUUUUUUCUUGCUUGAUUUUCAUGCUACACAUCACCAAUCAACUAAAAACACUAAAAUACAUUGAAAUCUAACCAAAUCAAGCAUCAAAACCUCUCUCUAAGUGUUCAGCCAGCAAGAUACCCAUCAUGAAAUCAUGUGAUUCAACCAUGAAAAAUGCAAAAGAAUGCAUGGGAAAGGUAGAUCACAAGUGAAAAUCAAAAAAUUUUACCUUUAAUUGCUUGAUUACUUGGAAUCCACCAAUUUUCUCUUGAAUUUUCACCCUAGGGUUCUUGUUCUUUCUUUUCUUCCUUUGUUCUUGCUUUGGCCGGCCAUAUGAAGAGAAAUGGGCUGAUUUUGUGCUAAUUUAUAAGGAAAAUAAUAAAUGGAUGAAACUUUGACACAUGUCACCAUUCCAUUAGUCCAUGUGUCAUACUUACCUAUUAAGCAAUCUCUCUCCACCACUUAAAUUUCCUCAAUUAUCCAUGAUAAUAUUGGGUAAAAUUCAUGUGCUGGACAAGUGUUGGGUGGUGUAAAAUUACAAUUUUGCCCUUGGGGUGGUAAAAUGACUAUUUUGCCCUUAUGCUCAAAAAAAUGCCGGAAUUAAAAUUUUUCACUUUUCAAACUCAAAUUAUGUUCUAUAUAAUCAAUCUUGACCAAAAGCUUCUUCCAACAUUUCAAUUUUAACCUCGGGUGGCAAAAUGACCAUUUUGCCCCUAGGUCAUGAAAAUUCUAAUUUGACUACAAAUUGGUCCUCGAACUCCGAAUCACCAUUUUAAGUCAUUCUGGGGUUUUAAAAUUCUCAAUUUCAUCUUAAAAUCUCUAUUUGGACUAGUUCGAGGCUUAAUUCAACUUAAUGGUACCAUUUGGUACAUUACCGUCCUUUAACGAUUUUCGAGGUACCCAAGUAAGCAAACAUGCAUUCUUAUGUAAGAAUGACAUAAUAAACAUAUUGUAGAGCCGGGCUUGACACCGCACAUGGCAAAUAUCAUCAUGUACACUCUUGCACCACAUCAUCACCGACAUGUGCACUCCCACACCGCACACACUCUAUUGUAAUUAACACACAAUAUUAUCGUUCAAGGCAUAACAUGCAUAGCAUCAUAAUAUAGGAACACAUGAAUUCAUCACAUUUCACAUUUCACAACAUAAAAACCUUUCAUCAAGGGCUUGUUCCCAUGCAUAUUUUAAAGAAAAGACCAAUAAAUAUUUUAAGUGAUUCAAUCAAACACUUAUGCAUUUAUCCCAAAACAUUUUAAUGCAAGUUCAUUCACCUGUCUUUGUUGACUCUUUAAGACUCCAACAUCCACUAACGCUCCAAAAGGAGAUGUGGGGUCUCGUUGGAACCUAUCACACAAAAUAGCAUCACAACCAACUCAUUUGACAUGAAUAUUAUUCCAAAAGCUAUUUUCUAAAUCAAACUUUACUAGUUAUUACUCACUAGUUUCCAAUUACCAUUUGACUAGUCAUUAGUUUGCACUACUCUAGUCACACUAGGAAUAAAUAAAUAACCUUAAACAAUAAAAUAGCCCACAAUUCUAAUUAUUGGCCAUUUAUCAACAACUUAAAAAUCAACCCUAACUCAUUACUCACCUUGAUGGAUUUGUAGUUGAAUUCCUUUUCAAAAGCUUUUCAAGCUAUUAUGCAAAGUCUCCCUCUCUCUCUAAAAUAUCAACUAGUGAGAGAAAGUGCUGAGGAAAGACUUUUGAGAGUUUUUAAAGUGAAAGAGUGAAGGAGCAAGAAAAAUCCUAUUGAAAGGUGUAUAGAAACAUGAAAAUUUGAGUUACUUUGAGAAAGUUAUGGAGGUUUUAAGGGUGGCCUCCAUGAAAGAUGGAGAGUUUGAAAUGGAGAGAAAGGAUGGGAGGAAGAAGAAAAAGCUGUUUGAAGUAAGAAAAAAGCUGCUGAAAAAUUAGAUAUUUAUUCUUAUGGUUGACAAAACUCCACUUAUUUACAAAAAUACCAUUGCAUAGUUGACAAAAGGUCCACAAUAGAUUAGAGGUACUCGAGUUCAUGAAAACUUACAAAUUUAGACUCGAGACCUAAAAUGACCAUUUUACCCUUAUUGUGGAAAUUAUCAUUAUUUCUAUUUUCUUCGUUUAUUUCAUUAUUAUAUACCUUAUUCAUUUAUUCCUUAAGCCUACUUAGACCUUAAUUAUAUUAGAAAAACCCACUUCUAGGAGCUUACCAAAAAAACGACAGAACUACCCCUAAUCCACGUCAUCGUGUCUACCUCUGCUACUGUCAAUUAAAUUCCUACUACGCAAGUAUACGUAUCGAAUACAUAGUAUAUUAACAAGUAGGGUAUCGAUCCCAUAAGGAAUUAAUCUAAAAUUUUACUAAGUACUAAAAUUAGAACAAUUUAAUCUUAUCCAAAUAAUCAAAAUUAAUUAAUUAACUAAAACUAAUUAACUAAAAUUAAAACCAACAAGAAAAAUCAAAAUAUUAACUUGAGAAAAUAUCAAAUCAACAAACCUAGGAUUACAAUAUCCCUCACACUUCAUCUAAAUCCUAUCUCUUUUCCUUAACUUAUUUCAAUGGGUUGAAUUGCUAACCUAGAGUCCUAAAUUAUUUAUAAGGGUCUCCCGACUCAUUUUAUAAAAAUAUCUAUUUUAAUAAAAACACUAUAUCCUUAUGUGAAUUGAAAUUAAAACAAACUCAUUAAGUUCAGGUUCUAAUCUUGCUACAUAUGGCCUAUAGGUAUAUCCCUAUCCUACACGCAAAUCAAUUAAUAUAAUCAUAUGCUAUCCCAAUUUUAGUCUACACUAAACUCCCUUUCCCAAGUUUGCUUAGGUUCCUAAAUCAAUUAAUUGGUGGCUAGACAAUUAAAAGCAUUAAGAACAAAUUGAAAUAAAUAAUUAAAAUCCCAUUAAAAAUAAGCAAGAAAGAGAUUAAAAAUUUAGACUACAUGUGAGUUCAAUUGCAUUCCUAGAAAAAGAAAUUUAGCUACUCAUAAUUGCAAAAUAAAAUAACAUUAUAAUAAAUUUAACCAUUAAAAGUAACAAGAGAAUUAAAAGCUAAGGAAAACACAAAACAAUUAUUGCCGACUUGAUCUCCAAGUUUCAGCCUCAACUUCUAGUUUUUUGAAUCUCUCAAAAGUUCCUCCUCCUAAUGUUGCUAAACAUAUCCUAUUUAUAUUAAUAAACUUAACCUAAAAUUCCUUAAGCUAAGGUUUAAUUUGGGCAUAAAAGUGUAAUGAGAGGCCCAAAAAUCAAUUGUCCAUCUUUACAAAUUUCCAUUCCCGAUACAAUAUGUUCAACCAUUUUUCGACGUGAUUUUCUCUAUCUUCGAAGCAGAACUGGGCAAAGUGAUCUUCAUGAAAGUUUUAGCUCUGUCUCUUAGCUAUUGGUCUAAGAAUUAUAUCAUUUGGAGUUCUAUAACUUGAGAUAUGGCCAAAAUAUCGAAGUAUAUGCAAGCAGAUUCUGGGUCUUUCAACACUUUACUUUCCAAAAUUAAGCCCAAUCACUUUUAAUCCUAUAAAAGAAAUAUAAAAACUAACAAAUGAUAACCAAAUUAAAAAGAAUAAUAUAAAAUUAAAAUAACUAGCUUAAAAGUAGCCUAAUUAUAAAACAAACUAAAAAUAAGUAAAUUAUAAUUGAAAAUUGAAGACUUAGCUAAUAUUUAAUAACAAAAUUGGAAUAAAAUAAUUCUAUAAAAUAGAAUUAUCACACCCUCAAACUUAAGAUUUUGCUAGUCCUUGAGCAAAAGAAAAUUUUAAAAAGAAAACUGAAUCAUAAAAAAUCUUUAAACAAGAGAUAGAAAUACCAAAUCAUGAUUUCUCAAUUUUUCCUCAGAAAUUAACUCUAAUUCCAACUUAAGGUAACAUACAACUAAUCUUUAAAUUCAUGCAUCAAUUCAAGUGAAACUUAUUUUUUCAAAUGGACUUCCUGUGUGUGUCUGAAUGCUCUCUUACAAAGAAUCAUGCAAUUUAGAUUAGUUUUAUGUCAACUCUAAGCAUAGAUUAGUACUAGGAUCCCAUAGGUUUACUUUUCAUUUCUCUCUCCACUAAUGUAGAUUAACACUUAUUCAAGGAUCAAUAGGUCUUUAUCAAGCUUGUAAUGUAAAGCUAGGGUCAAGGUAUGAUAAAGGAUAUAUUUAGGCUCAAAUUCACCCUAAGCACUUAAUCAAUCUAGAUCAUAUAAAGAGCUCAAAAAUUAUUUUUUUCUGUAUAGCACCCCCAAACUUGAAGUAAACUUUCCUUUGUACAACACACUUUAUUUCUUUUCUUUUCUCUUUUUUUCAACCCCCAAACUUAUUUUUGACAAUUAUAGACUAGGGGUAAUUUUACUAACAACCUUCACUUUUUGUGUUUUGUUUUUUUUUCAGACCUUUCUCUAUCAAUUUAUCUUUAAGCUCAAAUUUUUUUUCACACCUUUCUCCCUCAAUUUAUCUUUAAGCUCAAAUCAUUCUUUAGAACGAUUAACAUACUUAGAGGGUGAAAGGUUCAAAUUGCUGGAAUUAAAUAAACAGGCCAAGGCUAAUAUAACUGUGUAAUUACAAAGAAAAGGUAAAUUAGGCUUAAAAAGGGUGACUAAGGAUAAAUAUAACAAGGUAGGCUCAAACGAUCCAAAGAUGGCCUAAAUCACUUCCUAUCCUAAGUGUUAUCUAAGAUUUCGCCUCGAGAGAGAAUCAAACAAAUUUUAGAAUUCUUGACUCCACUAGACUUUUUCAUCAAUAUAAAAUUUCUCUAAAUCACACAUAAAUUCUAAGUAGAAGAGUAUAGUGCUUCAAAUUAUUGAAAGUCACAUUCUAAAAUAAAGCUAACACAAGAAUAUCACAUAAAAUUAAAUCCUAACUAUAUGCUUCCCAAAAGCAAAGAAUCAAAAGAUAAUUAAAAUAUCAUCCUAGGAUUGGGACAAUCAAGAAUAAGAUAUACCUAUCUCAAUUUUUUUUCAACACAACAAAACAUGCAAAACACAAAUAAAACAUGUAAAUAAACUAACAAAAUUCUAAACUAUUCCCCCAAACUUAGAAUGAACAUUGUCCUCAAUGUGAUAAAAGAAAAUAAAAGAAAAAGGACAAGAAUACUCCACUACUCGAAACUGCAGUCUGCAUGUCCUCCACAUGGCCACCACCCAUCAUCAACUCUCAGCAACAAAGCAUUCAUCAAUUAGAUAUGCAGCAAAUGAAAAGUUCAUGAAUCCAUUAUAUGGGUAACAAGAAAUUGGCACUAAUCUUCAAAAUUUUCAGCACUCUAAGCAUUAAUCAUGAGGAAGUCUGAAAAACUUAGGAGUGCAGGAUUUCAAAAAAAAUUAAAAAAAUCCAAGUAGAAAGAAAAUGCAAAAAUUUGGAGUGAAAAAAGGAAGAUAGAGGAACGCAAGAGAUUGGCAAGAUGAGGAAUAAUGGGAGUAGGGAUGGUAGUCAAAGAAGAAGAAGAGUGACAAAAGAAGAAAAGAAAAAGAAAAAAAUAUAUAAAUAAAAAAAUAAAAAAGAUUUUCAAAGCAAAAUUUUUUUUUUCACCCGAAGCUUUACACUUCGGGCUUGAGCGCCGCGGCUCUCAGGGUUGAGCGGGGCUACGCUUAACUUUUCUGCCAAUCGUUGUUUGUUUAGCAUCGCGGCACUCCAAAUGAGGCCAGCGACGUUGAAACAUUCUGUUUCAGUGACUAAUUGUUGCUUCAUCCAGCGUCACGGCUCUCCCUUUAAGGGCCGCGAUGCUGAAACAUUUUGUUUCAUGCUGCAGCGCUUAUUUCUUUUUUUUUUUACCAAUUACUUGCAAAAGGAAUCAAAAGACAAAAAAAAUUAAUAAAUCAAAAAAAAUAAAUUCUAACUAAACUAAAAACAAUUUUAAAAAAUAAAAAAUAAGUAAAGUUUAGAAACUUAGGUUACCUCCCAAGAAGCGCUCGUUUGUAGUCACUAGCUUGACUAUAGUGCCCCCUUUUUCAGUUCUUCAUCCUCGAAAUAUCGUCUAAGGCUCAUCCCAUUAACCAUGGUUGUUUCUGUAUCCUCACUAUAAAUCUCAAUUAUUCCACAAGGAUAAGCCUUUACUACUUUGAAAGGACCCCACCAUCUUUCUUUGCGUUUCCAUGGAAAAAGCUUGAAGUAUGAUCUAGAAAGCAGCAUUACUUGUUGUCCAAUCUCGAAAGGACGAUUAGAUGGUGGUGAAAGAUGCUCCGUUGGUGAUUGCUCAGCUCUCACAGGCCGAGGUGGUGGCUUAAACUCAAAGAUUGGUGCUUGCUCACUUAUAGGUGGAGAAUUAGGUUCACCUUUUCCUUUAUCAAUUAGCUCCACUCUAUAGCAACAAUUUGUAGAGCUAGGAUGUUUAUUUGCAUUGAAAAUAUUAAACUCAACUACCUCUUCUCCAAUUUUAAAAGUUAUCUUGCCUUCCCUCACAUCAAUGAUUGCGCCUGCGGUAGCCAAGAAUGGUCGUCCCAAGAUUAAAGGAAUUUCUUGAUCUUCUUCCAUCUCAAGCACAAUGAAGUCCACCAGAAUGUAAAGAUGCCCAACUUUAACCAAUAUAUCCUCAAUAAUCCCAACAGGAUACCUGAUUGUUCAUCUACUAAUUGCAAAGAAACUGUGGCAGGUUGUAUCUCUUUAAGUCCAAUUUUCUCGGCAGUUGACAAUGGUAUGAUUGAAACGCUUGUACCCAAAUCACAUAAAGCUUUAGUAAAUUUAAAUCUACCAAUAGUACAAGGUAUAGAAAAACUCCUUGGAUUUUUAAGUUUUGGUGGAAGCUUGUUCUGAAUUAUUGCGCUACACUCCUCAGUAAGUGCCACUGUUUCAAAAUCUUCAAGUUUCCUCUUCUUAGUUAAGAUAUCUUUCAGGAAUUUGACAUAACUUGGCAUGUUUUCCAAAGCUUAAGCAAAAGGGAUGUUUAUGUGGAGUUUCUUGAAAACAUUAAGGAAUUUCUCAAACUGUUUAUCAAGCCUUUGCUUUUUCAACCUUUGUGGGAAUGGUGGUGGAGGGUAAUUUGCUUCAAAAUUCCCUUGAUUUUUAGCUUGCCCAUUAUCUGCCUUUCCCACUGCAACUUAUUUCUCAACAAUCGCCUUGUCAUCAUCUAGAUACUCCUUUGAAGAUUCAAUUGAUUUUUCAUUCACCCCUUCAACUUCUUUUCCACUCCGAAGUGUAACUGCAUUAUAAUGUUCCUUACCUUUGGGAUUGACUUGUGUAUCACUUGGUAAGGCACCUUGGGGUCUAAUGUUUAUGGAGUUUGCAAGCUGUCCCAUUUGGGUCUCUAGAUUUCUCAAGGAGGCUCCAUAGCUCUAAAUUAUGGCAUCAGUCUUGGACAUAUAUUGCAAGAUAAGUUCUUCCACUUGGGACUUCUUUUCAAGAAUUGGUGGUCUAGAUUAUUGUUGAAAACUAGGAGGCAUGUUGGGGUUUGAAUUGGAAGGCCCUGCAUUGUUGUUCCAUGAAAAGUUGGGGUGGUUUCUCCAACUAGGAUUGUAUGUAUUAGAGUAUGGGUUAUUCUGUUGCUUGUUGAAGUUCCCCACAAAUUGGACUGAUGUAGAAUUGUAUGAACAUUGAUCACUGGAAUGGCCAUCUCCACACAUCUCACCAACUACACAUGAAUUUUGAAUUGCAUGGACUCCUAGUGUGUCAAUUUUCUUGAACAAUGCAGUCACUUGUGCAGCUAAGUUGCCAAUUGCAUCAAUUUCAUAUGCUCCAACAGCUUUUCUCGAACCCGACCUUUCUGAAGGCCAUUGAUAAUUAUUUGAAGCCAUCUCUUCCAACAAAUUAUAAGCGUCUACAGCAUUCUUACUCAUCGAUGCCCCACCAACAGCAGCAUCAAUUGUGGUUUUAAUUGACCCAACCAGCCCAUUGUAGAAUGUCUGAACUUGCAACCAAUCAGGAAUCCCAUGAUGUGGACAUAUUCGCAGUAGUUCUUUAAACCUUUCCCAAGCUUCAUACAAGGACUCAAAAUUGUGUGAAUGAGGUGAUGUCGUUCCUCAACUUUGCAGUCUUUGUAGGCGGAAAUAACUUUGUGAGAAACUUUUGAGCCAAGUCCUCCCAUGUAGUGAUAGACCCAUUGGGCAGUGAAUUAAGCCAGCUUUUUGCUUUAUCUCUCAAAGAGAAUGGAAACAGUCUCAACCUAAUAGCAUCAUCAGUUACUCUAUUGUAUUUAAAGGUAUCACAAAUCUCCAAAAAAUUAACUAAAUGAGCAUUAGGAUCAUCAUUGGGUAAUCCACCAAACUGGACCGAAGACUGGAUCAUCUUAAUGUAAGCUGGUUUAAUUUCGAAAUUAUUUGCAUUGAUAGAAGGUCUCCUAAUACUUUGGUGCAAACCUUGCAACAAAGGAACUGCAUAAUCUCGCAAUGCUCUAGUUGCUUCGGGAUCUAGAUUAAUGGCAUUAUUUCCAUUAUUAUUGUUAUCCUCAGCCAUUGUCUAAUUUAAAGUUGCAACUUGCAAAUUCUCCCUUCGAUGUCUUUUAAAAGUUCUUUCUAUCUCAAGAUCAAAAGGAACAAGAUUCAAGUUCUCUCUUCUUUGCAUACAAUGACCAAAGAUAUCUGCAAGCAAACAAAAUCUAAAAUUAAAACAAGAAAAAUAAAAUUUGAAGUAAAACCAAAUUGCUUGGUAUUAGUAUUAGUAAAAAGUCUAGAAACAAUUCCCCGACAACGACACCAAAAACUUGUCAAUUAAAAUCCUACACGCAAGUUUACGUAUCGAAUAGAUAGUAUAUUAGUAAGCAAGGUAUCGAUCCCACAGGGAAUUAAUCUAAAAUUUUACUAAAUACUAAAAUUAGAACAAUUUAAUCUUAUCCAAAUAAUCAAAAUUAAUUAAUUAACUAAAACUAAUUAACUAAAAUUAAAACCAACAAGAAAAAUCAAAAUAUUAACUUGAGAAAAUAUCAAAUCAACAAACCUAGGAUUACAAUAUCCCUCACACUUCAUCUAAAUCCUAUCUCUCUUCAUUAACUUAUUUCAAAGGGUUGAAUUGCUAACCUAGAGUCCUAAAUUAUUUAUAAAGGUCUCCCGACUCAUCUUAUAAAAAUAUCUAUUUUAACCAAAACACUAUAUCCCUAUGUGAAUUGAAAUUAAAACAGACUCAUUAAGUUCAAGUUCUAAUCUGGCUACAUAUGGCCUAUAGGUAUAUCCCUAUCCUACAUGCAAAUCAAUUAAUAUGAUCAUAUGCUAUCCCAAUUUUAGUCUGCACUAAACUCCCUUUCCCAAGUUUGCUUAGGUUCCUAUAUCAAUUUAAUUGGUGGCCAGACAAUUAAAAGCAUUAAGAACAAAUUGAAAUAAACAAUUAAAAUCCCAUUAAAAAUAAGCAAGAAAGAGAUUAAAAAUUUAGACUACAUGUGAGUUCAAUUGCAUUCCUAGAAAAAAAAAAUUUAGCUACUCAUAAUUGCAAAAUAAAAUAACAUUAUAAUAAAUUUAACCAUUGAAACGAACAAGAAAAUUAAAAGUUAAGGAAAACACAAAACAAUUAUUGCCGACUUGAUCUCCAAGUUUCAGCUUCAACUUCUAGUUUCUUGAAUCUCUCAAAAGUUCCUUCUCCUAAUGUUGCUAAACAUAUCCUAUUUAUACUAAUAAACUUAACCUAAAGUUCCUUAAGCUAGGUUUUAAUUUGGGCUUAAAAGUGUAAUGAGAGGCCCAAAAAUCAAUUGUCCAUCUUUACAAAUUUCCAUUCCCAAUACAGUACGUUCAGCCAUUUUCCUACGUGAUUUUAUCUAUCUUCAAGGCAAAACUGGGCAAAGUGAUCUUGAUCAAAGUUGUAUCUCUGUCUCUUAGCUUUCAACUGGUUUAAGAAUCACAUCAUUUGAAGUUCUAUAGCUUGAGAUAUGACCAAAAUACCGAAGUAUAUGCAAGCAGAUUCUGGGUCUUUCAACACCUUACUUUCCAAAAUUAAGCCCAAUCACUUUUAAUCCUACAAAAGGAAUAUAAAAACUAAUAAAUGAUAACCAAAUUAAAAAGAAUAAUAUAAAAUUAAAAUAACUAACUUAAAAGUAGCUUAAUUGUAAAAACAACUAAAAAUAAGUAAAUUAUAAUUGAAAAUUGAAGACUUAGCUAAUAUUUAGUAACAAAAUUGGAAUAAAAUAAUUCUUUAAAAUAAAAUUAUCAGCUACACGUCUAUGAAGGUCGAGGCUUCACAGAUGUUGAGGUGGUCUCUAAGGUGGUGGACAGCGUGGAAUCGAAAAAAAACUAUAGCUGGCAGCCGACAACUUGUGGGCAUAAAAUCGAUUCAUAAUUUCAACAUCCAACAAUGCUUUACAUUGCAAGAUUUCUUCAUUUUUAUCCCAACGUACACCCACUUUCUUGCACAAGGUGGUGAUCAAUGAUGGAUACCAAAGUCUAUCACACAGCAAGCGGUUAGCUUGAACAAUACUGUUGAAUAUCAAUUGGCCCACAUUGAUUGACAUUCUAGAAAUAAUGGCAUAUAACAAGAUAGCUCAAUCCCUUGUGAUGUCACUAAUAUGUUUCACAGGAAGUAAUCUAGUAAACAAAAAGUGAUACCAUAGCUUAUGAACUGUCUUCAUGGUACUAGCCUUAAAAGACACAGGUAUGCCUUUUGUCAUUUUCCAUUCCCCCCCUCAUCACAAAGUACACCAAGAACCCCAUCCAAAUCAAUGUUGCCCGUUAAGAACUGGCCAUAGUCAUCAUGUUCAAUAUCAAGUUAUAAAAUUGAUUGAUGGUGGCAUUAUCAAAACGAACUUGAUAGCCUCGUACAAACACUUGGCCAUGAACAUGUUUAGCGGCAUUGGCGUAGAAUAUUAUAAACCCUUGGUAAGACAGCGGCCUUAGGUUGGUCACAAAAUUUCUCCCAUUGCCACCUAGUGAUGACCUUAUGAACAAAACUAUAUAGCUCAAGAUUGAGAUCAAUGCCACUUUCCUGAAUAAGGACUUUAUGCACAAGGAAUUGCAUAUGUCUCUCAAUGGCAUCAGUAGACACAAAUUUACUGUGAUCAAAUCGAGUCUUACUACCACUCUUGUGAGUUCUUUUCUUUGGUGCCAUCCCGCUCACGCAAAUAGAAAAUACUUCCUCCUAAAACAAGCCACCACAAUCCAAGUAAAUUACCCAUUCAAUUAUAUUUUAUUAUUAGGAAACAAAAACAACACCUCCCACAAGUUCUAUGCCCUGUCAAAUAUUGAUAGUCAUCCUUCAUCCUCAACAACAAUGAAAUGCAGCACAAAUUGAUUAGAAAGAAAAAAAAAUCCAACACAUCUAGUUUAAACUAGCAUUACUUCAAGCAACCCAUUCCUAACUAACAAAUUGACAAAAGAAGGGAAAAAUUAACUUACUUGGUUGAAGAAUACAGAAAAUGUGGAGAAUGAAUGGAAGGACAACCUUACUCUUCACAAAAAAAAAUUGGUGAAAUUUAAAAAUACUGGGUGGGUGUAAAGUGGGUGGAAAGGGAAGGAAGAAAUCUAAAGGUUAGAGAGAAAAGGGAGCCCUAAAAUAUGAAGAAAGGGUGAGAGAAAGGAAAAUCAGGGUUUUUCUUUAAAGCCCCGUGACAUAGUGCCGUGACGCUCCUUUCUGGCAUCGUAAUGGCCUUUUCUUGAGUUUUUGUACAAGAGGGGGCCUGAUGCACUACAACUUGGCGUUGGGUUCAUGGCUCUGCAACGUCAUUUUUUUUAAUUUACUUACCUCAUGAGAGUCCAUAGCUACAACAAUCGAAUAAAUAACAAUCAAUUAACGAGGAAGGAAAUAUAAAAUUGACACAUUAAAAUUUCAAAUUGACUCGAAUUAAAAAAAUACUAAGAUAAAUGAUGUUGAGAAACUUGAGGUGCCUCCUAAGAAGCACUUCGUUUAGGGUCAUUGCUAGAUCAAUGUGGAGUUCAUUUGGUGUCAAAGAGAUGGAUGGACGAUCAGUGUUGAUCAAUAAGUCCACCUAGUAGUGCUUUAAUCGUUGUCCAUUCACCUUGAACAUCUCAUUGGUCAACCCAUCAAUUAUUUCCAUUGCUGCAUGUGGAAACACUUUUGACAUAUUAAAAGGUUUGAACCAUCUUGAUUCCAAUUUUCCUAGAAAUAACUUCAAUCGUGAAUUAAACACCAAAACUUGCUGACUUGGCUCAAAAUGGCACUCGAUAAUCUUUUGAUCAUGCCAUCUCUUCGUCUUUUUCUUUUACAAUUUGGCAUUCUCAUAAGCAUUUAAGCAAAUUUCAUCCAUCUAAUUUAAUUAAAGCAAUCUUUUCUCACCUGCUGCUUUUAAAUCGAAAUUUAAUUUCUUGAUGGCCCAAAAUGCACUAUGCUCUAAUUCAACUGGGAGUGACACGCUUUUCCAAACACAAACUAAUAUGGGGACAUACCUAUUGGAGUUUUGUAAGUUGUCCAAUACGCCCACAAUGCAUCAUCAAGUCUACUAGCUCAGUCUUUUUGUGACAAUGAUACCAUUUUCUCAAGAAUUCUUUUGAUUUCCUAAUUUGAUACUUCCACUUGUCUGCUCGUCUGAGGGUGAUAAGUUGUGGUUACCUUGUGUGACACUCCAUACUUUAUGAGUAACGUUGUAAAAUAUUUAUUGCAAAAAUGACUUCUUCAUCACUCAAUAGCUCUUGGUGUAUCAAAUUUGGUGAAAAUGUUUGUCUUUAAAAAUUUCAUCACCACCUUAAUAAUGUUUGUAGGGAAGACUGAGGCUUCUACCCAUUUUGACACAUAAUAGACAGCCACCUAAAUGUAUCGAUUGUUGAAUGACGAUAUGAAUGGUCCCAUGAAAUUGAUUCCCAAACAUAAAAAAUUUCCACUUCCAAAAUGCUGUUAAGCGAGAUUUCAUGUCUUCUGAAAAUGUUUCCCAUUCUUUGACAUCUGUCACAAUGCAACAUAAAGUUAUGAGCGUUUUUGAAUAAUGUUGGCCAAUACAAACCUUAUUGAAGAACUUUGGCCGUUGUUCUAUCACCUCCAAAAUGACCCCCAUUUUUAUAUGAGUGACAAUGUCUCGACACAUUUUCAACUUCUUCCUCUGGAAUACACCUUCUUAUAAUUCUGUUAGCACAUUUCUUCAACAAAAAUGGUUCAUCCCAUAGAUAAAAUUUAACAUCAUGCAAAAAUUUCUUUUUUUGAUGAAAAGUUAAAUUUAGAGGUAGAAGCUUACUCACAAUGAAGUUGACAUAGUCAACAUACCAUGGUAAUUUCUUAUGACCAACAUGUAACAAUUGUUCAUCAGGGAAAGUUUCGUUGAUCAAAGUCACAUCUUUACCUUGGUUGUCAUGCUCUAGCACAAAUAGUUGGCUACUUGAUUUUCUGAACCUUUUAUGUCUCUGAUUUCUAAAUCAAAUUCUUAUAACAGCAGAACCCAUCUUAUUAACCUUGGCUUGGCAUCUUUUUUAGCAAUCAAAUACUUAAUUGCAUAAUGGUUAGUAUAAACAAUAACUUUAGUGCUAAUCAAAUAUGAGCAAAAUUUGUCAAAUGCAUACACAAUAGCUAAUAAUUCUAUCUUAGUGGUAAUGUAGUGCAUUAGAGUUUCAAUCAAGGUUUUACUUGCAUAAUAUAUAGAAUGAAAAAUUUUAUUCUUUCUCUAUCCUAACACUGCACCUACAACCUUGUCACUAGCAUCACAAAUAAGUUCAAAUAAGAGUGACCAAUCAGGAACUACAAUAAUAGGUGUAAUUGUCAACCUUUUUUCAGUUUCUAUAAAUGUAGCAUGACAUGCAUCAUCAAAUUUAAAUGGGAUGUCUUCUUCUAAAAGAUUGCACAAAGGUUUAGCAAUUUUGGAAAAAUCCUUAAUGAAUCGUCAAUAAAAACCAACAUGUCCAAGGAAACUCUAAGUAUCUUUUACCAAGGUUGGUGGUGGACGCUUUUCAAUGGUCUCAAUCUUAGCUUUGUCUACCUCUAAUCCUUUGCUCGACACCUUGUGACCAAGAACAAUGCCUUCUUGUACCAUAAAAUGGCACUUCUCCCAAUUUAAAACUAGGAUCGUCUCCUCACAUCUUUGCAAUACCCUAUCUAGAUUGAGCAAACAUUCAUCAAAAUUAUUGCCAAAGACAGAGAAAUCAUCCAUAAAUGCCUUUAUGGUUUUCUCCACCAUAUCCUAGAAGAUAAACAUCAUGCAUUGUUGAAACGUGACCAAAGCAUUACACAAUCUAAAUGGCAUCCUUUUAAAUGCAAAAACACCAUAAGGAUAUGUGAAAGUUGUUUUCUCUUGAUCUUUUGGUGCUAUGGAAAUUUGAUUAUAACUUGAGUAUCCAUCCAAGAAACAGUAAUACUCUCUUCUAGCUAACCUUUCCAACAUUUAGUUAAUGAAAGAUAAAGGAAAAUGAUAUUUCCUUGUGACCUUGUUUAGCUUUCUGUAAUCCACGCAUACUCUCUAUCCCAUGACUAUUCGUUUGGGAAUGAGCUCAUUGUUUUCGUUAGCCACCACUAUCAUCCCACCUUUUUUUGGUACGCAUUACACCAAGCUUACCCAUUCACAAUCUAAAAUAGGAUAAAUGAUGCCAGCAUCUAAGCCACUUGAUUAUUUCUUUCUUGACUACUUCUUUCAUAAUUAGAUUCAAUCUCAUCGAUGCUCAAUAGUGGCUUUGUGAUUAUCCUCUAACAAAAUUUUAUGCAUGCAUAUUGAAGGACUUAUCCCCUUGAUAUCAACUAUUGACCACCCCAAUGCCUUUUUUGUCCUCUUUCAAAACUCUAAGUAACUUUUCUUCCUGUUUAUUAUUAAGAUCAGAUGCAACAAUAAUUGGAAGAGUACAUGAGUUUCCAAGAUAUGCAUACCUCCAAUGUUUUGGCAAUGGCUUCAGUUCUAACUCAGGGGGAUCCUCAAUUAAAGGUUUCACUGGUGAGGAUGAAUAUGAAGACAAAUCUAACAGUUCAAACCGAGUUCCCAAUAACAGAGACAGGGCAUUCAAUGCAUUAACACAUUUUAUAAUUUCUUCAUUACUAGUCUCAAUUUAGAAAUCAAUGAUGCUUCAAGUAAGUCAUUAGGAUGAUUUUCCAUAAAGACUUCACUUGUGGCCCUAUCUACCACAGUAAUUGCAAAACACUCAUCAUGAUCAUUAAUGAACUUUAAAGCACAAAAGAUAUUCAAUGUUACCUCUUGAUCUUAUAGUUGCAAGGUAAGUUCUCCCUUUUCAACUUCAAUGAGUUCUCUGGCUGUGCGUAAAAAAGGUCUCCCAAGGAUAACAAGAACCUCUUUAUCUUCCUUCAUAUCAAGAACUAUAAAAUCAGUUGGGAUAUGAAUUUAUCCACUUUCACAAGCACAUCUUCCACUAUGCCUCUUGGAUAUAUGAGAGUUCUAUCUAUUAAUUGAAGAGUUAUAAUGGUGGGCUUGAUUUCCCCCAAACCCAAAUUGUUGUAGAUUAACAAUGGCAUCAAAUUAAUACUCGCCCCUAAAUCACUUAAAACCUUAGCAAAGAAUAAGGCACCAAUUGUACAUGGAACAGUAAAACUGUCUAGGUCUUUAAGUUUUUGAGGAAGCUUAUUCUAAAUGAUUGCACUACGCUCCUCAAUGAGUGCUACUGUCUUAAACUCACCCAAUCUCCUUUUCUUGGAUAAAAUGUCCUUCAGAAAUUUUACAUAGGAUGGCAUUUGCUCUAGUGCCUCUGUAAAUGGAAUGGUGAUGUGAAGCUUUUUAAAUAAGUUCAUAAAUUUCUAAAACUUUCUUUUUAUUGCUUCUUAAAAUGUUGAGGAAAAGGUGGUGUUGGUGCAGUUGCCUUAGUCACUUCUAUUAGACAUUGAUCACUAGACCUUGAAAUUUGAGUCUUAUUCUCCCCAAUUUUGUCUUGUUGUGCAACUUCUUAUGGUUUACUUUCAACUUCCUUUCCACUUCUUAAAUUGAUGGCCUUGACAUGCUUUUUUCCCUCUCUCCUCGGAUUGGCCUCUAUAUCACUAGGUAAUGUUCCUUGAGCUUGGUUGUGCAAUAAAUUGGUAAGUUGACCAACUUGAGUCUUAAGGUUUCGAAGUGAGGCUGCUUGAUUUUGGAUGAUAGUUGUUUGACUUUGUAUGUUGCCAUCAUUUUGUGUCAUAUAUUGCCUUAACAAAUCUUCAAUAGUUGGCUUCUUUUAUGAAAGAGGUGCUUUGACUUGCUAUUGGAAUCUCAGAGGUGCAUUCGGCCAUGAAGUUGAUGACACCCCUUGAUUGUGAGCCCAAGAGAUAUUUGGAUGAUUCCUCCACCUUGGGUUGCAAGUGUUAGAGUAAAGGUUAUUUUGCUAUCUCUUCCCCAUAAAUUGCAUUGUUUUUGUUGAGGUUGGACACUAAUGAGUGGCAUGAUUAUCUCCAUAAUACUCAUAAGCUAUAAAAGGACUUUGCACAAAGUUAGUACUAAAAGAUUUAAGAGUUGUAGUUAGAGUUGUUAUCUGAGCAAAUAGUGCUGACAUGGCAUCUACAUCAUGAAUUCCAACUACUCUCUUAUGCAUUGAUUGUUCCAUUGGCCAUGUUUGCAAAUAUCUCUUCUAAUAAAUCAUAUGUCUUAUUUAUCGAUUCAGUCAUUAAAGCUCCUUUCACAACAGCACCAAUAAUGGUUUGGACCUGCCCACUCAAACCAUUGUAAAAAGUUUGCACCUAAAGCCACUUUGGAAAACCAUGAUGAAGACAACGCCGAAGUAAUUCUUUAUAUCUUUCUCAAGCUUCGAACAACUAUUUAGAAUCUUGCUACAUAAAUGAUGUAAUAUCAUUCCUAAUUUUUGCUAUCUUAGUUGGAGGAAAAAACUUGGCAAGGAACUUCUAAACAAGAUCAUCCCAUUUUGUUAUUAAGCCAGUGGGGAGUGCAUUCAGCCAUGCUUUAACGUUAUCCCUCAAUGAGAAAGGAAAAAGACUCAAACAAAUUGUAUCAUCUGUGACACUAUUCUAUUUGAAAGUGUCACUAAUCUCCAAGAAGUUUGAUAUAUGGCCAUUUGGAUUAUCAUUUGGAAGGCCCCUAAAUUGGACUGAGGUUUGAAUCAUGGUGAUGAUAGCUGACUUGAUCUCAAAAUUGUUUGCUUGAAUAGUUGGCCUUCAAAUGCUCGAUGGAAUUUCAUGUACCAACGGAGCAACAUUGUCACGACCUAAAUUUUCGGGCCAUGAUCUACGCAAGAGCCCAAUAAACGUAGCCUAUUAAGCCCAAGCAAGCCUAUCUAUUUAUUCUACUCAUCAUUCCAUCAAAUAUCACUAAGUCAUAUUUCAUACUUUUGAAUCAAAAUAGUGAUAUACAUUGCCAACUCGUACUGGCAUUACUCCUUAAAAAUUUACAUACAAUGUCUACAACAUGUAUUCUAAUAAUUUACAUUAAGUUUGUCUAUACAAAACAAAAUAACACUCGACUUCCAGNNNNNNNNNNNNNNNNNNNNNNNNNNNNNNNNNNNNNNNNNNNNNNNNNNNNNNNNNNNNNNNNNNNNNNNNNNNNNNNNNNNNNNNNNNNNNNNNNNNNNNNNNNNNNNNNNNNNNNNNNNNNNNNNNNNNNNNNNNNNNNNNNNNNNNNNNNNNNNNNNNNNNNNNNNNNNNNNNNNNNNNNNNNNNNNNNNNNNNNNNNNNNNNNNNNNNNNNNNNNNNNNNNNNNNNNNNNNNNNNNNNNNNNNNNNNNNNNNNNNNNNNNNNNNNNNNNNNNNNNNNNNNNNNNNNNNNNNNNNNNNNNNNNNNNNNNNNNNNNNNNNNNNNNNNNNNNNNNNNNNNNNNNNNNNNNNNNNNNNNNNNNNNNNNNNNNNNNNNNNNNNNNNNNNNNNNNNNNNNNNNNNNNNNNNNNNNNNNNNNNNNNNNNNNNNNNNNNNNNNNNNNNNNNNNNNNNNNNNNNNNNNNNNNNNNNNNNNNNNNNNNNNNNNNNNNNNNNNNNNNNNNNNNNNNNNNNNNNNNNNNNNNNNNNNNNNNNNNNNNNNNNNNNNNNNNNNNNNNNNNNNNNNNNNNNNNNNNNNNNNNNNNNNNNNNNNNNNNNNNNNNNNNNNNNNNNNNNNNNNNNNNNNNNNNNNNNNNNNNNNNNNNNNNNNNNNNNNNNNNNNNNNNNNNNNNNNNNNNNNNNNNNNNNNNNNNNNNNNNNNNNNNNNNNNNNNNNNNNNNNNNNNNNNNNNNNNNNNNNNNNNNNNNNNNNNNNNNNNNNNNNNNNNNNNNNNNNNNNNNNNNNNNNNNNNNNNNNNNNNNNNNNNNNNNNNNNNNNNNNNNNNNNNNNNNNNNNNNNNNNNNNNNNNNNNNNNNNNNNNNNNNNNNNNNNNNNNNNNNNNNNNNNNNNNNNNNNNNNNNNNNNNNNNNNNNNNNNNNNNNNNNNNNNNNNNNNNNNNNNNNNNNNNNNNNNNNNNNNNNNNNNNNNNNNNNNNNNNNNNNNNNNNNNNNNNNNNNNNNNNNNNNNNNNNNNNNNNNNNNNNNNNNNNNNNNNNNNNNNNNNNNNNNNNNNNNNNNNNNNNNNNNNNNNNNNNNNNNNNNNNNNNNNNNNNNNNNNNNNNNNNNNNNNNNNNNNNNNNNNNNNNNNNNNNNNNNNNNNNNNNNNNNNNNNNNNNNNNNNNNNNNNNNNNNNNNNNNNNNNNNNNNNNNNNNNNNNNNNNNNNNNNNNNNNNNNNNNNNNNNNNNNNNNNNNNNNNNNNNNNNNNNNNNNNNNNNNNNNNNNNNNNNNNNNNNNNNNNNNNNNNNNNNNNNNNNNNNNNNNNGCUUCCUUAAAACCUAGGAUCACAUUAACAUAAACAAUAGAUCAAUUUACACACUAUGACCCCUAAAAGCUAUCUCUAAACUAGCUUUCAAUUGCCACAUUAAAUGGCCAUCUAUGUUCACUAUCUUAAUCACUAAAAGUAAUGAACAUAAUCAAUAAUAAAACAGCUCAUAAAUCCCAAUUACUAGCCAUUUUCUGCAGCUAAAAACCAAGCUUAAUUCAUCACUUACCCUAAGGCUCCUUUGUAGUCAAAUUCUCUUCUAAUUGCUUCCAAAUCAGUGGGGUAAUUCUCUCUUUCUCUCUCUAAAAUGCCCAACUAGUGAGAGAAAGCAUGAAAACCAUAUUUUUGAAGGGUUUUAAAGUGAGAGGAUGAAAGAGCAUAAGGGUUUAUGGAAGAGUACACCAAAAGCAUGAAAUUUGGAGCUAGAAAGAGAAAGUUAUGGAAGCUUGAAGAAAACUCCCAUGGAAGAAUUGAAGAAACGUGAGAGAGGAGAAGGGAAGAAGAAGACAGCUGUUGGAAAUUUCAAGAAGCUGCUGGAAAUUCAAGAUAUUUAUAGGCCAAAUUUAUCCAUUCCCAUAAAAUUACCAAUUUGCCCUUUCACCAAUUAACUUACUCUCCUCCAAUCUUUUAUGAAAUCUUUUUGCUCCUUUAACACAGGGACAAAGUCCAUAAUUGUCUAGACAUGUUCAAGUUCAUAAAAACUUAAAAUUUUAACCCGAGGUGAAAAAUGACCAUUUUGCCCCUACCAUGAAAAUCGUCAAAAUUUUGGUUUCCUUUCCAUUUUACCCCUAAUUUCACCAUCCAUUUAUGCCUUAAGCCUACUUAGGCCAUAAUAUUGUUUAAAACUUACUUUUGGGAGCUUAUUAGAGAAAAUGACGAAACUACCCUUGGCUCGUAUUAUUACAUCUAUGCUUGGUUACAAGCCUAUAGAGGUUGGGGUCUCACAAACAUAAUCCCCUAACCAAUGAUUUUCAGCUACUAUGCGCACUUGGAUUUGCUGUUCACCUUGUUGAUCAGCCAUUGUAUUUAUUGGAGCAACACCUUGUUGAUUGUUAUGUCGAAGUCUACGAAAUGUUCUCUUAAUUUCUAGAUCACACGGCAUAGUCUUCAAGUUGUUUGCUCUUUUCAUACAACGACUGAACACUUACAAAACAAAGAAAUAAAACUUAAAGUAAGACUAAUAUGUGAAAUUUUAAUAUUAACAAAUAAUAAAAAAACAAAAUCCCUAACAACAGUGCCAAAAACUUGUUGUAAGUUUGCACAUGUAAGUAUACAUAUCGAACAAGUAAUAUAGACAAAAAGUCCAAAUUAUCGUUCCCACGAGGAUUUGUUUCUAAAGUUUCACUAAGUACUAAAAUUAUAUAACAAAUUAAUCUUAUUUAAGCUAAUUGAUAAUUGAAAAACUAAUCAAAGACAAUCAAAACUAAAUAAUAAGUUAACCAGCAAAAACUAAAUAUGUUGAGAAAAGUAGCAGAUUAAAGACAUAGGAUCAUUGGUUUAUUCAAUAUUUCAUCUUAUACUAGCUUUUCUUGUUAUUGAUCUUUUUUUGGUGAUUUUACUAAUCUAGAAUCCAAAGGUAUGGACAAAUCUCCAUCGAGAUGCUUGUACAAAUACCUAACUUAAUCAGUUCACUAUAUGUCUAUAGGAAUCAAUUAAAUUAAGUUCAUUAAGCAAGUGUCCUAAUUUAGCUAUGUAUGGCAAUUGGCAUAUAUCUACCCGAAUCGCAAAUCAGAUCGCCAAAGUGAUGUGAACAUACACUAUUCAAAUCUUAGUCCAACCUAAAAUCUCAAUGUCGGUUUCUAAUUAGAUUCAUGAAUCAAUUAAUUGUUAAUUAGGCAAUUCAAGGCAUUAAGAAUAUAUUUGAAUAAGUAAAACAAUACCCAUUCAUGAUAAAUAACAAAAAAAAAAAACAAGUAUUCAGACUACAUGUUGAAAUCCACCAUAAUACUAGAUAACCAAAUUAUUUCAUAAUAUCUAGAUAAAACACUAUCCAAAGAAAUUUAGCCAUGAAUUUAAAACAAAAAAAAAAAAGAAACAUAAAAAGAGAGAAAUAAACUAAUGUUGAACCCUGGCUGAUUACGAAACUCUCUCAAUUGCUCUUGAAUUCUUGAUUGAUUAGUAUCUCCAAUUCUCUAAAAAAGCUGUUGUUGUCUCUCUCUUUGAAUACUCUCAAAAAACCUCAUAAAUAUGUGCAAGAUGCCCUACUUUCCAAUUUUCGAUCAAAAUUUUAAUUUUAGAAGUCAGAGUGGUACUGCGGCCAUGACUUCUUGGCACCGCGGCACUAUGACAAGCUUUGGUAGCACCACGACACUCCUUUUUGGUUCUGCGACGCCAUGCUAUCAACCUUCAGUAUGAUGCACCCAUCCAGCCCAACACCAUGAUCAUAAGCUUCUAACAAUGCGGGGUGGUCCUUUCAGCAUCACUGCCUUGAGUAACUCAGCAUCACAGCCUCAAGCACCAUGUUACCUUAUGUGCAGUCUGCAAUUGCCUAUCAUCUUCAAAUGUGAUUUUCACCUCUAUCUAUUCUAAACUUUGCAAAGUGGUAAACAUAAAAUUAUAUCCCAUUCCCUUAACUUUAAAUUACGACAUGUACGUGUGACACGUUCACCAUACUUAUGCUAUCAUAACUCAAUUUCACCUUGCUCAUCACAUAUCCUGGACAAAAACCAUGAAAGAAUUGCAUUAACUCUUCUUAAAGUAAAUUAAAAACAAAAUAAAGUAAAAUUAAACUAAAAUAACUUAAUUUAACUAUUCAACAUGUAAUCUAACUUACAUUAGAAAAACACUUAAAAUGCUAAAAUCUGAACCUAAAACUCUAAGGUCUAGCUACUAAAGCCCCCAAAAUGUGUUAAAAAUAACUAUAUAUAAUAGAGUUAUCAAUUUGAAAAUUGUGAUUCUGAAAUAUUUUGCAAUGAAAAUUGUUUUGAUCAAAAUUUUUGAGCCUUAAAACUCCACAACAUAAUGGAGUUGUUAAAAAAAUGGGCCUUUGAAGAAAAUGGCAAGAACAAUGCUUUGUGAAAACAAUUUGCCAAAAUAUUUUAUGGCUAAAGCUGUAAAUACAGCUUUUUUAUUUUAAAUAAACCAAUGAUUUCAAAAACUCUUUAUGAGCUUUACAAAGGAAGAAAACCAAACAUUGCACAUUUAAGGAAUUUUGGAUGCAAAUGCUUUAUUUUAAAUAAUGAAAACACACCUUGGGAAAGUUUGAUGUUAAGAGUGAUGAAGUUGUUUUCUUAGGUUAUGCAAUAAACUCUAAACCUUAUAAAUUGUUUAACAAAAAAACAUUAGUUGUAGAAGAAUUUAUUCAUGUUGUUUUUUAUGAGACUAAUGUUGCACUAAGAAAAGUAAUGCGUGAUGAUGAUGCAAAUGUUAUUGAGGAGAAAAUGGAAAAGAUGAACUUGGAGAACAAAGAAGAUGAUGAAGACAACUCCAAAAAAUGAAAUGAAGAAAAACCACCAUUGAAGGACUUGUAAAGAAUUGAAGAAUAGUAUAAUGAUCUUCUUAGAACUUAAAAAUUUGUAUGAAAUCAUCCUUAAGAGAAAAUAAUUAAAGAUCCCUUUGAAGGUGUCAAAACCAAAAGAGGACUAAAAGAAGCUUGUGAAUUUGUGGCAUAUAUAUCACACAUGGAACCCCAAGGAUUUUGAGGAAGCAAAAAAGGAAGAGAGUUGGAUGAUAACCAUGCAAGAAGAACUUGGCCAAUCUGAAAGGAACAAGGUAAGGUUAGUUGCUCAAGGUUACAGUCAAGAGAAAGGUAUUGAUUACAAUGAAACUUUUGCUCCUGUAGCUAGAUUAGAAGCAACUAUAUUUUUGCUUGCAUAUGCAUGUUACAUGAAUUUCAAAUUGUUCCAAAUAAAUGUUAAAAAUGCAUUUCUAAAUUAUCUUAUCCAAUAAGAGGUAUAUGUGAAACAGCCCCCUAGUUUUGGUGAUUUUGAGGAGAUUGAUCAAUUUUAUUAAUUGUAUAAAGCAUUACAUGGAUUGAAGUGAGCUCUUAAAGCUGGGUAUGAAAGACAUUGAAAAAAUUUGACUGAAAAAGGAUUUUUUUAAAAGGAGUGUAGAUACUACACUUUUUAUUAAGAAAAGCAAAAAUGAUUUACUUGUUCAAAUAUAUGUGAAUGAUAUAGUCUUCAGUGCUAUUAAUGAAAAGUUGUGUGAGAAUUUUGCUAAAGAAAUGCAGGGUGAGUUUUAAAUGCACAUGAUAGGAGAAUUAUGUUUCUUCCUUGGUCAACAAAUCAAGCAAUGUGAGAAUGAGAUGUUAAUCAACCAAGCUAAAUACACUAAGGAGAUGCUGAAAAAGUUUGGUAUGAUGAAUGUGAAAUUAGUUAGAACACCUAUGAUCUCCUCUACAAAGCUUGAUAGAAAUGAGAAAGGAAAUGAUGUGGACCAAAAACUCUAUAAAGGUAUGAUUGGUUCACUUUUUUAUUUAACAGAAAGUCCUGAUAUAUUGUUUAGUAUGUGCUUAUGUGCAAGAUUUCAAUCAUGUCCUAAAGAUCACGCUUAACUAUUGUAAAAAGGAUAUUUAAAUACCUCUUGGAUACCCAAGACUUAGGUUUAUUGUAUCUAAAAAAUGUCAUCUUUUGAACUUUUUGGCUGUUUCGAUAUUGAUUUUGCUAGCAGCGAAGUAGAUCAGAAUAGUACUAAUUGUACUUGUCAAUUUCUUGGAACCAUGCUUAUAUCUUUAUCUUGUAAGAAACAAAAUUCAGUUGCUCUUUCAAGUACUGAAGUUGAAUAUAUUUGAGUAGGUAGUUGUUGCGCACAAAUUUUAAGGAUUAGGAAAUAAUUAAAUGACUUUGGCAUGUUCAUGCAUAAUAUUCCUAUCUUUUGUAACAAUACUAGUGCCAUUAACAUCUCAAAUAUUCUUGUUUAAAACUAAGCAUAUUGAGAUUAGACAUCACUUUAUUAAAGAUCAUAUGCUUAAAGGAGAUGUUAAAAUUGAAUUUGUUCAUACCUUGCAUCAAUUAGCUUAUAUUUUCACCAAAACCUUGAGUGAAGACCAAUUUUGUAAAUUUAAAAGAGAAUUAGGAAUGCUUGAUGAGCAUGAACUUGGAUUGAAUUGCUUUGAAUAUGUUUUUAAUGAAUUCUCAUAUCUAUUGUGUAUUAAUUUCUUAUUCUGAUCAAUUAAAAGUGGCUUUUCAGUACUUACGAGAGCUUAACUGAUUAAAAUCAUGUUUUCAUCAAUUAAACUUGUUCUAGAAUAAAGGAUGUUCCAUUUAAUCAAUUAAAAAGUCUUUUAAUUGAUUAAUUUGUUUCUGGUCAAAAGUGGAUUUGGAACUCAAAACCUGUCCAUUUUGGCUUUAGAGCACUCAAAAGUCGACUAAAUAUCCAUGGAUUCCACUUUUUAUCAUUCCAAUAACAUUGUUUGAAUUUUGUUCUCCAAUAGGCGACUAGCUAUGAUAAAGAGUCAAUUAUGCUUGAUUCUUGCAUAUUGAAAAGCCAGAAAAAGGUGCAAAACAUGCAAUGUUCUAAGGCAUAAUGAUCUCAAAACAUGGAUUUGUGUGAGAAUAAUUUAGAAUUUCAUUUCAACCAUAUUUAGAACAUCAUUUUGGACAUGUAUAAUCAAAGAUUCUUCAAGAAAAAACAUGUGAACUCAAAUUUUGGCUUAUAUUGUUCAUUGUUCACAAAUGCUAAAAAGUUGAAAUGCUCAUUUGAAGAAUCAUGUCUCUAAUAUGCUCAAACAUAUUCAAUUUACAUCAUGAUGCGUGACUAUGGCUUAUAACAUGUACAAAAAUCAUUUAAACAAUGUUUAAGCAUAAUUAGCAUCAAAUUUAACAUUUUUAACAAUUUUCCGGCAUAUGAACAAAAAUGCCCUUGUGGUUGUUCAAGCACUCCUUUGCAACAAGAACAAGACAUAAUGGCACUUUCAAUAUAAAGCAUUCUUGUUCAAGCUUUAUAUCAUUGAAAUCAUUGUAGCCUCAAGCAUUACAAGAAGGUUUGUACUUUGCUUAAAAUAUCAUCAAUGUCAAAUUAUCAUACUCAUGAUUAUACUUAAGAAAACUCUUUCAAUCUAUUUUAUAAAUCAUGAGAGAAAUAUCAAGCAAAAUGGGAUUUAUGCAAUUCAUGUAUCAAAUCAAUUUUGCUCAACCAUGCUAUAUCAUCAAAAACAAUAAAUCAAUUUCAAUCAAAGAAAAUGAAAAGAUUUUGCAAGAAAAUCAAUUGAUAAAGGUUUAAUCUUUCGUUACAAACUUUUCAACUUGAAACGUUCAAGAUUAAACAUGCUUUGUGAAAAAUCAUGAGCUCAAUAUCACUCAAUUUUGUUCAUUUACGCUUGAAAUGAUUUAUGAAAUGUGUAAUAAGCAUAAUGAAUCAUGUUUAUGCAUGUCAAGGGUCAUUUGCAAAUAUCUCACAAUUAUUUUCCAAAAAUGCCCUUAUGACCAUUCAAGUUUACAAGCAAGCAUGCACAUCCAAUAAGAACAAGUAAUAAGUAUUUUCAUUAUGAAACAAACUUAUUCAAUUCAUAAAUCAUUCUAAACUUAAAGGAUGGCAACAUUUUUCUCAUAUAAGCUCAUUUUGCUUUAAAAGUACCAAUCAAAGUAGUCAAAACUUUCAAGCUCAUUAUCAACCAUCUUGAAGCAAGUUCUAGAAUGUAGAUCAAGAUUGUUCAAAUGGUCAACUUAUGUUAGGCACAAGAAAAUCAAGGACAAUUUUUCAACUCAAUUUUCCAUGUUUUAGGCUACUUGAAUAGGUGUGAGUGUAAGUCAUCACGUAUGCUCAUAUUUUUAUCACAUUAUGCAACCUUUUAGGUUUCAAAAUUAUGCUCAAAAAUCAUUUUUCCUCAAAGAAGUAGUAUGGAAACAAUUUCACAAAACAUGAGGAAAUUUUAUAGAAACAAUCUUCCAUAAUCAAGCAAUCUUGAUAAAACAAUUUUCUCAAAAUAAGAAUGAUAAUAUAUUCAAGUUCAAAUAUAAGUACAUACUCAAUCAUUAGAUUCUUACUUCCUUGCAACUUAUAGUAUGUAUCAUAUCAAAUCAAGUUGCAUAGCCAAGAUUUAUCAAUAAAGCUCAAAGAAUUAUGCACUUAAUAUUCAAGCAAGAAUAGGCAACCAAAGUUUUCAAUUAAGAAAAGCAAACCAUUUUAGAAAUCAAGCUAAAUCAAUGAAACAUUCAAUAAAUAAACAAUCAAAAUUCUCAUUUAAACAAACAAAAGGCUUUUAGCUUAGAGAUCACCCAUUUUCCUUUAUGUGUAACUAGAGAGCAUUCAUUCUUUAAGAAUUGUUCUUCCUUGCUCUAGCACACCUACAAGAGACAUUUUUCAUUUGAUUUUUGGUAUCCAAAUUGCUUUGGAUCCUUGAAAGUUAUUGUCACAGCCUAAAUUUUGAGCUAUGACUGGCGCAUGGGCCGAAUAGGCAUAGACCACUAAACCCAAGCAAGCCUAUUUAUACAAUCCCGAUCAUUAAUCCCAACCAUCAUUUCUAAAACCACAUAUUGCAAUUCUUAAUUAUAAAUAUUUCAAUAACGUUUUAUAGCAAUCCAAUAUUCACAUUUGUAUUAUGCUAACAUAGUAUCACUCAUUUGCCACCUUACAGUGGCAUCAGUAAUCAAAUAUACAUAUUUGAUUUUUAACAUGAAUCUUAGUGGUCUUCAUUACUUAUACAUGUAGACAAGCAUAAGACUCUUGACCGUUAGCGGAGUGACCAUGGAUGAAGGACAGCUACUGAGAUGCCAUAGUACUUACCAAAAGGAUGAGCAUAUGUAGACACUCAAUCUAGGUCCCAACUGUCUUCGAAUCUGAAAACAUGAAAUUUAAAAAUGUGAGUAUAAAACUCAGUGAGUGAACAUAAAAAGGGAACAAGCAAUCGAUAGGAAGAAUUUGGAAAUCACGAUGCACUUGUUUCAAAAACAAUGCAAUUGAUUUAAUUUCUUACUAGAACCCCUUCAUUUCAAACUUUGAUCAAUAACCUCAUAGUAUUGCAAAAACUCAUGAUCAAUCCAUGAAGUUAAAUGGGUGAAAAAUAUGUCAAAAUCAAGCAAGGUAGCAAGCAUGGCAGCAAAUUUCUCAUUAUAGCGAGAAAUAAUCUUAGUUUGCAUAUGUUUGAGUUUUUCUAUCAUAUCUCCCACUGCAAAAGUCCAAUUGACCUAAUUUUUCAACCAUUAGAAAUAUAAGAGGUAGGCCUACAACUUUGAUGUUUACUACUUUUCCCAUUUCGAAUGAGAAGGUAGUUAAAAUCUUCAUCAAAAUGAAAGCAUUGCAUCAAAACUUGAGAGUUUCUCGCUGCAAUGAGAUUUAUUCUCGCUGCAGCGAGAAUCAAGCCAGUGUGACCCCCAAAACUCGAGAGUUUCUUGUUGCAGCGAAAUUGAAUCUUGCUAUUUAUUCUCGCUGCAGUGAAAAUCAAGCCAGUGUGACCCCCAAAACUCGAGAGUUUCUCGCUGCAGAGAAAAUGAAUCUCGCUGCAGCGAGAAACAGAGCAUUUUAAUUGAAAUGGGUCUUGUUACAUCAAAAGCCAUUUUCUUGUUGAAAUGAAAAACAAUUUGAGAGCAAUUAACAAUGCCAACUUGGAGCACAAUCACAAAUAUUUUCAUAACUUUCUAUAACACACACAUAUAUAUACAUAUGCAUUCAUCAUCAUGUGUGCACUCCCUACUCACACACUUCAACAUCAUCAUGUGUGCACUCCCUACUCGCACACUCUAACAUCAUCAUGUGUGCACUCUCUACUCGCACACUUCAACAUCCUCACACAACAUUAUUCAUCAAUGCACAAUGUAUAUUCAUAUACAUACAUACUAGCAUAAUAUAAUAGCACAUGGAUUCAUCCUUUUACACAUUUCACAUUUUCACAACAUCAAAGCAUUUUAUCAAAGGCUUGUUCCCUGGCACAUAUUUUUAAACAAAGGUUGAAUAAAAUCAUUCAAAUGUUUCAUCCAAAUACAUUUACAUCUCCCAAAGCAAAUUUUGAAAUGCAAGUUCACUCAUCGGUCUUGUUGAUUCUUUUGCUUGACUCUAACCUCAACUAAUACUCCAAAUGGACAUGUGAGGCCUUGUUGUAACCUAUACAUACAAAACAUCACAACCAACCCAAAUUGGCAAUAAUAUUGUCAAGAACCAAAUUUCGGGCCAUGACCAACGCAUGGGCCCAAUGGAUGUAGUCCACUAAGCCCAAGCAAGCCUAUUAAUAUGACCUGUUCAUCAUUCCAUCAAAAUUUGCUAGGUCACAUUUCAUAACUUUGAAUCAAAAUAAUACUAAGCAUUGCCAACUCAUAGUGGCAUGCCAAUUAAAGUGUACAUAUAUUGUCUCAACAUAUAUUUUAAUAAUUUACAUUGGUUUAUCUAUACACAACAAAAGAGCACUUGACUUCCAGCGGAGAGACCUGGGCGACGUACAGCUAUUGAAUGUCGAGAUACCUACCAAAGAGACGAAUCACGAGGGCACCUCAACCUAGUUAUCGACUGCCUCUUGAUCCUGAAAACAUGAAGUUGAAAACGGUGAGUAUAAACUCAGUGAGUGAACAUAAGAAGGGAACAAGCAACGAGAAGGAAGGUUUAAAGAAAUCAUGAUGCAUUUAUUUUCAAAACAAUGCAAUUUAGUUUCAUUCUUAUUAAAAAACCCCUCGUUAAACCCUUAAAUGGUUAAUCCCUUUAAAUGGCUAAUCAUUCGAUAAUGAUGAAUCCAUACAUAACAAAGAAUUUGAAGAAUGAAAGCUUCAAUGAUAUACAAGCAAGUUAAAUGAAACGUUGGGUCCUCACUGUAGCAGAAAGGCAUUCUCGCUGCAGUGAAAUUUGAGCUCAAGUUAUUAACUGGACGAGGGUUUCUCUCUAAAAUUCCUCAUUUCAAACUUAAUUAGAUAAUCCCCUAAAUGUUGGGAGUCCAUGCUCAACUAUGGUGUAAAUGAAAUGGAAAAGUAUGGCAAAAACCAGCAAGAUAGCAUAUCGGACAGAACGUUUCUCGCUACAACGAGAUUCUUUCUUGCUGUAGCAAAAUUCAAGUGGCCAAAACAGAAUGUUUCUCGCUGCAGCGAAAUUCAAGUGGCCAAAACAGAAUGUUUUUCGCUGUAGUGAGAAGCUCUAGAAAUUUUCUCGCUGUGGAGAGAAUCAGGUCAGGCAGACCCCUCAAACUUGAGAGUUUCUUGCUGCAGCGAGAAUAAUUCUUGCUGCAGCGAGAAACAAGGCACCAAAGAAAAGUUUCCAUUCUCUCAAGAAUAAGGCCAUCUUGCUGAAAUGACAAAAUCAACAUGAAACACUUAAAAAUUCCCAAAGUUCAACAUGCCAAAUUUUCAUAUGCAUUACAAUCAUAUACCAUAUUCAUGAGCUUUUAUUUCAUAAACAUAUAUAUACAUAUAUACAUAGAAAAACACCAAUACCACCAUCGUCUCACCCAGCUCAUGUGCAUCCCCCCACAUUGUGCACAUAGCCGGGGUCAUCGUGUGCAUCCCCUCACAUCGUGCACAAUUAGUGUCAUCGUGUGCAUCCCCCCACAUCGUGCACACGGGCACUUUCAUCAUCCAACUCCCUCAACACCGUCAUCACCGGCAUGUGCAUUCCCCCACAUCGUGCACACGCACGGUCAUCAUUAUCACACAAUAUCAACCAUCAAUGCACAACAUAUAUAUAUAUAUAUAUAUAUAUAUCAACAUAAUGUAGUAGUACAAGAAUCCAUAAUAGCCAUAUGCCACAUAUAGAGACAAUUUAUCAAAGGCUCGUUCCUAAGGCACCCGUUUUUAAGAAAAGUUGGAUAAAAUCAUUCAAAGGUUUUGUGCAAAUACAUUCAAAUGCAAGUUCACUCACCGAUAUUUUGUUGAACCUUUAGUCGACUCUAACUUCCCUAAUAGUCCAAAUGGGGCGAUGGGGCUUCGUUGGAACCUAUCAUCACAUUAGCAUCACCAUUAUGUCAAUUCACAUACUUAUAAAUUCUAAAAGCUAUCUCUUAGCUAGCUUCCAAUUGCCAUUUAAAUGGCUAUCUAUUUUCACUAUCCUAAUCACUCCAAAGUGAAUGAACAACAGCAACAAUAAAACACUCACAAAUCUAACUACUAGACAUUCUCAACACUUAAAUAUCAAUUCUAAUUCACUACUCACUUUGGUAGCUUUGUAAUUGAAAUUCUUUCCAAAAAAUUUCAAGCUAUCAUUGAAGCUCCCUCUUUUUGUCUUUAAAACACCUAGCUAGUGAGAGAAAGUAUGGAAGUAAGACUUAUCAAGGGUUUUAAAGUGAGAGAGUGAAAAAACACAUAGGUUCUAUGAAAGGGUGCACAAAAGCAUGAAAAUUGGAGCUAGUUUGAGAAAGGUUAUGGAGGUUUCAUAUCAAGCUUCCAUGGAGGAUGAAGAAACGUGAGAAGGAAGAAGGAAGGAGAAGAAGAAGCUGCUGAAAAUGUGAAAAGAAGCUGUUAGAAGCUGAUAUUUAUAACUCAAGCUUAUCCAACUUCACUUAAAUUACGAAAAUGCCCUUAACAAGCUAGCUUAUUCUUCUCCAAUCCUUUGUGCAAUCUUUUUACUCUUUUGACACUGAGGCCAGGUCCACAAGGGUCUAAAAAUACUCGAGUUUACAAAAACUUAAAAUUUUGACCCAAGAUGAAAAAUGACCAUUUUGCCCCUACCUCGAGAAUCAUCAUUAUUUUUAUUUCCUUCACCAUUUUACCCGUAUUUCAUCAUUCAUUUAUGCCUUGGGCCUACUUAGGCCAUAAUAUUGUUUAAAAACUUACUUUUAGGGACUUACUAAGGAAAUGACGAAACUACCCCUAGCUCGUGUUAUUGCGUCAUGCCUAGUUACGAGCUUAUAAAGGUCGAGGUCUCAUAAAUAUAAUCCAAAAGCUCUUUUCUAAUCAAGUUCCACUAGUUAUUCCUAACGAGCUUCCAAUUGCCAUUAAAUGGCUAGUUAUUCACACUACUUUAGUCACCCUAAGAGUGAAUAAACAACCUCAAUGAUAAACACUCACAAACCCUAUUGGUAGCCAUUAUCAACAACUAAAGAAAUUUAACCAUAACUUAUACUCACCUUGAUGGUCUUUGUAGUUGAAUUCUCUUUCAAAAUUCUUCAAGCUAACAAGGGAAAUCACUCUCUCUCUCUCUACAUGUCCAACUAGUGAGAAGAAAAUGGAAGUAAGACUUUUUUAAGGGUUUUAAGGUGAGAGAGUGAAAGAGCACAAAAGGUUCUAUGAAAAAGUGCUCAAAAGCAUGAAAUUGAAGCUAGAGAGAGAAAGUUAUGGAAGCUUUAAGGGAGGCUCCCAUGGAGAUGAAGAAACGUGAUAGGGGAAAGGAAGAAGAAAUGGCUAGAGGCUGCUGAAAAUUGCUGGAGCUUUAGAUAUUUGUAUCUAAAGUUUAUCAUUUCUCACAUAAAUUACCAAAAUGCCCUUAACAUGGUGACUUUGUCUUCCUCUCAUCCUUUGUGUAACUUUUUACUCUUUUGACACUAGGGCAAGGUCCAUAAUAGUCUAGAAAUACUCAAGUUCAUGAAAACAUAAAAAUUUAGACCCGAGCUACAAAAUGACUAUUUUGCCCCUACCAUGGAAAUUAUCAUUAUUUUUAUCUUCUUCAUUUAUUUACCAUCAUAAACAUCAUUUAUUCCUUCCUUAGGCCUAUUUAGACCUUAAUAGCAUCAAGAAAACCCACUCGUAAGAGCUCACCAAGAGAAAUUACGAAAUAACCCCUAGUCCGCAUUAUCACGUCUACUUCUAGUUAUGUGUCUAUAGAGAUCGAGAUUUCACAGGUUCACUUCUGAAUUAUCCUUUUUAACUUGGUAAUUAACCUCAAUUGGCAUCCGUAAACUUUAUUAGCCAUAGUAUCAAAAUAUGGGGUACUACAGUUAUUCUUGUUGUAUAAAGUUCCUUUUAGAACCCAUACUUGUCUAAAUUUAUAAGGUAAACAUUUUUUAAUUGGACAAGUGUAUGAAUAAUAACUAAAAAAUGUGCAAUGAUUGCAUUUGGUCAUUUUGGAAGAUGAAGAAUUCAUGAAAGCCUUUUGUUUCUCAUUUAAUAAAUCUUCAAAUUUUCUUUUCACAUCAAAAUUUUCUUUUUCCAAAAUAUCAAUUUUCUUUUGGUAAGCUUUAAAAUCUUUUUCCAAAUUUUCUUUUUCUUUUUCCAAGUCAAUUUUUACUUUCAUCAAAAAUUCAUUUUCAACAUCGAGUAUGGAAAUAAUUUUCUUGUGCUUUACAUUCAUUUUCUCAAACUAAAAUGCUAAAUCCUCAAAAGCAACAUGCAAUUCAUCAAAAGCAUAUGAAUUAAGUUCACAAAAUGAAGAAGUUACCUUUAUCUCUUCAAGAACCAUGAGGCAUAAUUCAAUUUGAUUUAAGGAUUUAUCUUCACUUGAUUCUUUGUGUGCAUUUGCCAUAUUGCUUGUUGAGCAUUGAUUCUCACAAGAGUUGUCUUCGAAUUCCUUUUGCUUCUUUAUUUCUCCAUAUAACUCUUCUAAUUUUUGUCAAAUUUCCUUGCCACUUUUGCACAUGAACACUUUAUCGUAUUCUCUAUAAUGAAGUGCACAAAAAAGAGUGUGCAUGGCCUAAGAGUUCGUUUGUACUUUCCUCAUUUCAGCUUCAAUCCAUUUAUUUCUUCUAUCUUUGGGAGUUUUCUCACCAUUUACAGAAUUUGUAAUCAUAGGAAUGAAAAGACCAUCGGUAAUGACAUCCCAUAUCUCAUAGUCAUAAGCCCUAAUAUAAAUGGACAUUCUAGUACUUUAAUAAGGAUAGUUUAAUCCAUCAAAUAGAUGAGGCAUAUUAAUGCAUUGAUCCUUAGCAUCAACAGAUUUUUCUAGAGCCAUUUGGAUCUCCCCUAAGGAUGUUAAGCCUUAAAAAUGAGGGUUAAGCUCUAAUACCACUUGUUGGUCCCAAAGAAUGUGCUAGAGGGAAGGUGAAUAGCACUUUUGGAAUGACACUAAAAUUUUUUCCAAGUAAAAAGCUGAUUAAAGGAAUUUAAAAAUGGAAAUUUAAAGCUUGCUAGAGGAAUGAUUCAAUUGCUGAGAGUAAGAAGAAAACAAAAGAAAGUAGACAAAACACAAUGAUUUAUAAUGGUUCGGUCCCCUUAACCUACAUCCACUACCUUGAUCUCCUAAUCAAGGAUUUUCAAACCAGUUCACUAAAAUCAAUGGAAUUCCCGAGCUUCCACCAAGUUUUUACAAUGGCUUUUCACAAGCUCAGCCACAACCUUUAACAAUGGUUUUUCACGAGAUCAACCAAAACCCAAAAUGGCUUUUCAAAGGCUCAACCACAACCUUUAACAAUGGUUUUUCAUGGGAUCAACCAAAAUCCAAAACUAACUUUUCUCAGGCUAAGUUAGAACCUACCACAACAACCAAGCUAACCCUACUUGAUCAACUCCUUAAAGUGGCUUGCACACUCUAAGUAAUCAAGAAAUGAAGAAAAGAUGAAGUACAAUUCAUCACCUAGCUAAUCUAAGAUGCACAAAGUUAAGCUCAAACACUUUUUCAAAGGAUAGGAGUGAAAUACAAGUGAAAAUAGAAGGUUUUUAGUCUUCUCAACUCAAAAUCACUUUGGAUAACUUCUCUAUAUUAUUUUUGACUGUUGGAGAGGCUUUAAAUACUUGCAAAAUCAAUUUUGGCCGUUGGAGACAAAAACUAGCCAUUUCUAGCUAUUAUUUUGUCCUUUUGUGCUUAAAUUCAAAUUUUCUAACAGAAUACUCUUAGUCGACUAACUAUGUUUCUUAGUCGAUUAAGUUGUCUCUAUUUUUAAACCCAGUCUCUAGCAGUAAGCUCUUAGUCAACUAACAAUGCUUCUUAGUCGAUUAAGUCAUCUUUGUUUUUGAACCUAGUUUUUAGCAAUAAGCUCUUAGUUGACUAACAAUGCUUCUUAAUCGAUUAAGUCGUCUCUGUUUCUGAACCGGCCAUCUUCAUUUUGAGUUUUAGUUGACUAUCUCCCUUGGUUAUCCGACUAAGAGGCUUCUGUUUGUAUCCAACACCCGCUUAAUUGAUUAAAUCUUGUGUUAACCAGUUAAGAUUAAUCUGUCUUCAUUAAAGCUCUUUCUUCUUUGCUUAUUUAACCAAUUAACCUAUCUUGCAACUGAACAAGCAUCUUGACUUGCUUUCAAAUACCAAAUAUAUUAAUGAAUUUAAGCUUUUUCCUACACACUCAAAUAAUAUAAUUAGACAUCAAUGAAUGGGAAUAUUUUGCUAUCGUAAAAAACAUACAAAGUCAACAUUCUCUAUCUCUUAUUUUUUAUGAUCACAAAACACUCCUAGAUUCAGAUUGCAAUGUCUAUAUUCAAUAUGAAUGCUUUAAAUCUUUAUGUGUAAUGAGUUGCUCCCCCUUAGUCAAUGCAUCUAGUUUUCUUUAGAUAAUAUUCAACAAAACCAAAACUAAGAAUCACACACAUAAAUUAAACAUGAAGUCUUUUAAACUCUAUUUAACUCAAUCUUCUUUCUCUCCUUUUUCUUUUUCAUCAUUAAACAAGAUAUUCAAAACUCCCCCUUAAUGAGUGCGUCUAGAUUUUCCUUUGAUCUUUAAGUCAGACUUUAAUGAAUGAGAAUCAUAAGCACUCAUACACUUUUAAUGAAUGAGAAUCAUAAGUACUCAUACACUUAAGUCAUACAAGCUUAUAGAUAUAGUUCAACUACUUCAAGAGUCAAGCUUGUGUCUAUGCAAAAACAAAUGUAUGGGAGUUAAAUCAUUUCAAGAAAUUAUCAAGGAUUACUCAAAUAAUGUUCAAGCAAAUUUGAUCAUUUUGUCAUAAUCAAAACUAUAAUAAUUUUAAAGUUAACACACUCAUAUUGAUAUUAUUAAUUCUUUUGUGCUAAAUUAACAAAUUUUGAAAACUGAGAAAUUGUUCAUGAGUGCUUGAUUUUUUUUUUAUUUUUCAUGUGCUUACAUUAAAAAAUCAUGUCUUGAGAAUUAAAAUGUUCAAAUGCUUAGUCUAGGAAUAAUUCUUGAAAUAUGUUUCAUGUUUGUACUUAACUGAUUGUUUCAAGAUUGAAUUAUUGCCUAGGCUCAUAAAAUUGAUUAAGAUGAAAUCAUUGAACUUUAUAAAAAAAAAAUUUCGUUCAUCUAUUGUUUUGGUCAAGUCAAAUGCUUACAUGACUUUUAAUCUUGAUUGACAUUAAUGAUUGAAGUCUAAAACUUGACUUAAGUAAUAGAAUUACUUAUGGUACAUAAUUUCAUAACUCAAGUCAAGUUUGAUUAUGACAUAUAUUGUGUUAACAUAGUUGAAAUCUUUUAAAUAUGAAUUUGAUUGUUAACUAUGUCUCUCACGGGCUUAAAUGAUUACAUAAUCUAAAGAUUUUGUGUACAUCCAACUUUAUCUAUAAAUAACUUUCAUGAUUAACGAACUUGAAUUAUUUUAGUGAGAUUAAGAGUAAUUCUAAGUUUAUUGGAGCUUGGAAUAUCUACGUCUAAAUGGAUUCCCCACUCACCUUUAUAGAAUUCAACUUGUUUAAGUUGGAAUGCAUGUUUUAUUUAAUUAUUUAAAUUUAUUUAAAAAAAUGGUAACUUUACAUAUUGUCUUAAUUAAUACAAGAGUUGUCUCAAUUUAGACAAAGUACAUAUGUUGUCUUAAUUAAGACAAUAGUUGUUUUAAUUUAGAUAGAAAUAUUUGUGUUGAUUGAAGAUAAGAGAUGUCUAAAUUAUAUUAUUUUAUUUUUGGUAAGUCAAAAAAUUGUCUUAAUGAAUAAGUAUUUUUUUAAAACAAGAGCUGUCUUAAAAUGAAAAAUAUUUAUUAAGAUAAUUAUUGUCUUGAGAUAAAAUAAUAUGGGAGGAUUUUAAUUAUAAUUAAAGAAUUAAAUAGUUUAUUCUUUAUUUACAAUUAAUUACAAUUUCUUGAUAAAUUAUAAGAGCCCAUGUUUGAUUAGAAUUUCUUCAUUUUAUUAUUAAUUUUUUUAAUUAAAGAUGGAUAAUAAUAAAAUAGAAUAUUUAUUUAAUAAGGAAUCAUAUUUUGACUUGGACAAAUAAUUAUAAUUAAAUAAAUAAAUUAUUGAUAUUUAAUUUUAAUUUUAAUUAUUAUUGGAGGAGUAUGGUACAACAAUAACAUUUUACAGAUGAGCAACUUGGACUCUUGAUAGCAAUUUAUUUUUAAUUAAAAAUAAAAAUAAAAGAAGAGUUCAUCAAGAAACAAAAUUAAAGGGUGGCUGUACCUUAUAAUAUAAAAAAGGGUAAAAGAAAAUUUCAUCAUCUUUUAAGGCCGAAACCUUAAGUCCAAAAAUUCCUCCAAGAAUCCUCCAUAGCCACCUUUUCUCUUUAGGUUCUUCUUGAUCUCCAAUCUAAGUAUAUUUUUCUAGAAACCUCUCACAAGAAAAACAACCAUAAAUUUAAAAAAGGAAAUGAGAGAAAUUCAAUUGUUACCAUCUUGAUUUAUUCCAUACCUUGUCUACUUAAGGUUCAAGCUGAAAGCCAUUCUUGAAGAAUAAGUGGUAACUUUAUUUCGUUGAGAAAUCGAUGGUGUGGUGGUGAAUUUAUUAUAAUUCACUAAGAGUCAAGAAUCAAGAAUCUUGUAAAGGAAAAACCUAUUUUAGUAAUUUGGGCAUAACUUUCUCUCUAGAGGUCCAAACGAUGUGAUUCUAAAGGCAUUGGACAGCUAAAAACAGAACUAUAAUUCUUAUGAUGACCAUAUUUCCCAGUUUGAAUGGGAUCAAGGAGAAAAAUUUGUCACUUGUUGCUAGUUAGUGGGAACCAAAUUUGAGGAACGAGAUCAAGGAAAGGUAUGUUCAUCAUUAUUUAUAGAUUCUUGAUUUUUAUAGAUGUGAUUACAUGAUUUUGCAAUAAGUGUGAUGUGUGAAUUCACUUGUGUAUUUGGAUUGCUUGCUUUUGUAGUUAGAAAAUUUUUGAAAUCCAUGGUUUACAUAAACACAUCUAUGCAUAAAGAUCCAAUCUCCAACAGUGACUCCCAUAGAGGCUCAUCAAGUAGGGAGCUUAAAAGAAUGAAACAAUGGUUGUUACACUCAACAUGAAUUUACUAUUAACUUACCUACAAUAGCUUUGUUAGUAUACUUCAUGCACCAAAUAAAGGUGCUUUUUAACCAUGUUAGGUAUGAAGAUAUGGGGUAACAUAGUUAAGUGGGAUGGUCCUAGUUACCUAGUAGUAAAUUCUCACAACCCACCAUCGCUUUAUUUAUCAUAAAAAAGUGAAUGACCACAGAACUAAUAAUAUAAUUUAUAGGGUUUUAUAUAUUAUCAUCAUGCAUGCAUUAAUCAAGAAUUGUUCGAAGUCCAUGUAUAACUAGUAUACUUAUAAAAUUUCAAAUGUACUUUUAGAAACAUAUUUGCAUGCAAACAUGAAUCCACUUUCCAUUUUGUUAAAUAAAUGUACUCUUGAAGGUGAUAACUAUAUUGAAUAGAAAAGGAACCAAAAUAUCGUCUUAAAUUAUGACAAAAUCACAUGGGUUCUUUCUAAGCAUGGGCCUAAACCACUUACUCCCAAAUCAACUCCAUAAGUGCUAUAUACUACUGAACAGCAUAUUGCAAAAGCAGCACAAGGGCAUAGGCUAAGUGCUAUAUGCUGCUGACAUGAUGUUGCACUUGCAUGUGAUGUUUAGUGCUAAAAUAAGGUCUGUUAAGGUAAAAGCAAUCAAUGCUUUUAAAGACCCUAAGUAGAAACUUGGGGAGCUAGUUAGGGAUUACAUGUUGAAAGUAAUCUCUUAUCUCAAUGAGGUAGCACUAUAUGGUGUUGAGAUAAUUACAGAAAUGCAAAUAUCCAUGAUCGUUCAUAGCCUAAAUUCAUCUUUUUCACAGUUCAAAUUGGAUUAUGAACUGCACAUUAGGGAUUACACCCUAAGUGGGCUAAUGAAUUAUUUGCAAAAUAUGGAAAAGUUUCUUGAAUUGAAAAAGAAACCAAAACCACAUGCAGUUUCCACUUCUAAGCCCAAACCCAAAGGUAAAAAGAAGAAAGCUAGAGAUAAAAAUAGUGUAAAAGGCUCAAUGGGAGUUAAGAAAAAGCCCAUGAAGAAGUUUACUUCAAAAGACAACACCCAGGGAAAGUGUUUCAACUGUGGUGAGAAAGGACAUUAAAAGUGAAAUUGCAAGGUUUACCUUGGAAUCCAAAAGAGUGAACAAGGUAUGGGUUUUCUAAAUGUAAUAGAAGCUUGUUUGGUGGUUUAUUCUAUAAAUACAUAGAUAGUAGAUUCUGAAGCCAUAAACCACGUUUGUUAUUCUCUGCAGGGUUUCAACAAAGGACAAAACUAACUUAAGGGUAGUUUCAAAUGAGGAUGGCAAUUGGCACUCAUUCAGCAAAAGUGAUGGGAGCCAUCGCUCUUCAAUUUCCUUAUGGUCGUAGUUUAUUUUGGGAAAAUGUUUCUUACAUUCCAAAGACUUAUAAAAAUUUAAAUUUUGUUUUUUGUUUAAUAAAGUCUAUAUAUUCAGUUUACUUUUUGUUAGAUAAAUAAGCUUAAAGUAAAGUAACCAAAAAGGGAGCUGAAUUGGUUAUCAAAUAAAAAUUUUCCUUUUUUGAAAUUUCAACAUAGCUAAAGUACAAAGAACGGAGUUAUAAAAAUAGAGUAUAAGCUAAGUAAGUAAACUGUAAAAAAGGAAAGAGUACCCAGCCAAGCUUUUAUUGAGGUUUGACCAUUGAUGCUUACGUCUUCUCCCUUGAUAGCACAAGGAGUUCGAAUCCACUAUCAACUUACCUUUUAACACGAGAUCAGGCGUAACUUUUACAAUAAAAUGCCUUUUGUCAAACCCUGUUCUAUAAAAUAAUUACGACGUCAUUUACAUGCUCAAUAGAAUGUUUACAGAUUUAGAGAGUUUGAGAAAUCGUUAAAAGACGAUAUUGCCCCUAAUGGUACCAUUGAGUCGAUUAAGCCUCGAACUAGUUCAAAUAGGAAUUUUAAGGUGAAAUUAAGAGUUUCACAAUUCAUGGAUGACUCAAAAUGGUAAUUCGGAGUUCGAGGAUCAAUUUGGAGUCAAACCAGAAUUUUCACUAUCUAGGGGUAAAAUGGUCAUUUGCCACUUGGGGACCAAAUGGGAAUUUUUAGAAAAGAUUUGUUUUGGUCCAUUUGACUUAUUGGAGUAUGAUUUAAGUAUUGGAAUAUGAUUUGAAGUUUAGAAGUGAAAAAUUUUAAUUCCUAUAUAAUUUGGAGUAUAAGGGUGAAAUGGUAAUUUUGCCACCUCGGGGGCAAAUCGGUAAAUUUUCACCCCCGACACUUGUCAAGACCAAGGGAUUUUAUUCAUCAUGGAAAUGGAUAAACAUGAGAAAUGUGUGGUGGAGAAUUAAAAAAUUAAAAGUCAAAUAUUUAAAAUUUGAGCCAAUAAGGAAAUGCCAUGUGUCGUGUUUUUAUUAUUUUAUUAUUUCUUUAUAAAANNNNNNNNNNNNNNNNNNNNNNNNNNNNNNNNNNNNNNNNNNNNNNNNNNNNNNNNNNNNNNNNNNNNNNNNNNNNNNNNNNNNNNNNNNNNNNNNNNNNNNNNNNNNNNNNNNNNNNNNNNNNNNNNNNNNNNNNNNNNNNNNNNNNNNNNNNNNNNNNNNNNNNNNNNNNNNNNNNNNNNNNNNNNNNNNNNNNNNNNNNNNNNNNNNNNNNNNNNNNNNNNNNNNNNNNNNNNNNNNNNNNNNNNNNNNNNNNNNNNNNNNNNNNNNNNNNNNNNNNNNNNNNNNNNNNNNNNNNNNNNNNNNNNNNNNNNNNNNNNNNNNNNNNNNNNNNNNNNNNNNNNNNNNNNNNNNNNNNNNNNNNNNNNNNNNNNNNNNNNNNNNNNNNNNNNNNNNNNNNNNNNNNNNNNNNNNNNNNNNNNNNNNNNNNNNNNNNNNNNNNNNNNNNNNNNNNNNNNNNNNNNNNNNNNNNNNNNNNNNNNNNNNNNNNNNNNNNNNNNNNNNNNNNNNNNNNNNNNNNNNNNNNNNNNNNNNNNNNNNNNNNNNNNNNNNNNNNNNNNNNNNNNNNNNNNNNNNNNNNNNNNNNNNNNNNNNNNNNNNNNNNNNNNNNNNNNNNNNNNNNNNNNNNNNNNNNNNNNNNNNNNNNNNNNNNNNNNNNNNNNNNNNNNNNNNNNNNNNNNNNNNNNNNNNNNNNNNNNNNNNNNNNNNNNNNNNNNNNNNNNNNNNNNNNNNNNNNNNNNNNNNNNNNNNNNNNNNNNNNNNNNNNNNNNNNNNNNNNNNNNNNNNNNNNNNNNNNNNNNNNNNNNNNAAAUUUAAUAAUGAUUUCAAAAAUAGAGUAAUUGGAGACCUAUACUAUGAUUGUGUUGUUUAUCCAUGAUUUUACAUUAAAUGGCUUAUGAUAAAUGUGGGUAUGACUGGUUAUUUUUAUGAUUUUAAGAAUAUGUGAACUGUGUGUUAAGUGAGCCAUGUCAUACUAUUGUGAUUUUAUUGGUUGGUGGAUUAUAAAGUGGGCACUACAGUGACAGAGGUUCCGUGGGCCAGCCUAAUUAGAGGGGCAUGGUUCCCAAUUAUUGAGCUUACCUCGAUUGGAGAGGCGCGUAGGAUAACUCUCGAGGUAGGAUUUGAGUACACUUCACGCUGGCCACCACGUGAAACUGGGAUUCAGCCAACACCGAGGAAUGGCUGUGUUGUCAGAGGUGAAAUGUGUUUGUGUGUGUGACAAUAAACAACCUUGGCGGGGUAUCCCUGUGAAUGGAUUUUUGACAAGGGCCAAGUUUUUGAAAAGUGCAUAAGCCAUGUUGAGUAAUUGGAUGAAAUCCAAUUAUUUAUAUGGGUUGGGAUGAAUUAUUUUAAUUGUCUCCUAUUACUCGGCUUUAGAUUAUUUUGAUGAUGUCUGUCUACUCACUCGAAUUUUAUAAUCUCACCCCUUCUUCCUAUCCAUUUUUCAGGCUCAGAAUAAUUUGUUAAUAGUUGAUUAAGACGAGAAUUAAUCUCGGAGUUGCAUCUUAGAAAGUAAGGGUUCGUAACCCUACAUUUUCUUAGUCAGUUGGGGGCCAACGUGUCACUGUAAAAGUAAUUUUAUUCUUCAGUUAUUUAAUUUAAAGUAUGUAUGAAUAUAUUUAGCUUUUACACCAUGUUUUUGGCGAGUUUCGGUAUUUUCGAAGAAAAAUAAUAAAAAUGCCCCUGUAAGCCAGAAAGUAAUAUUUUAUUGUUUUGAUUUGGAAAUGACUUAUGAUUUUUUUUGAAAUGUGAGAUUUAAUAACUAUCGCUCACUAGGGAGAUGUGAAGCUGAUGCUAAGUCUUGCGGGGUUUCGAUUGACAUUCGGGGUAAUGAGUGCCUAUCGGGACGUCGCGACGGUUGUCACGGGCUCGAUGAGAGUUUCGGGUCGUGACACCUUUUCAAGGAUCAAGCACAACCUCAACCAAAGUCACUACCUUUUUAGGAUCAAGCACAACAUUUACAAUCAAAAUGACUUUUAAGGAUCAAGGAGGUAUAAUUUAUACAAUAGUGGAUUCUUAAAAUAAUCUCUAGCUCAAAACCUAUAAUUGUUGGUCCUAAAUAAAUGUGUUAAAGGAGGGUGAAUAGUAUUUUUGGCUCUUACUAAACUUCAUUUCCAAUUGGGGGUAAAUUGAAGGUCAAUGAUGAGAAAUUUGAAGCAAGAUGAAGGAACGACUUAAGAAAGAAUGAAAAUGAAAAAUAAAACAGAGGAGAUAAAACUCAAAGAUUUAUAGUGGUUCAGUCAAAAACCUACAUCCACUACCUUGAUUGUUCAACCAAGGAUUUUUCAAACCAAAUCACUAAAAACAAUGGAAUUCCCUAGCUUCCACCAAGCUUUUACAAUGGCUUUUCAUUGGCUCAGCCACAACCUUUAACAAUGGUUUUUCACAAGAUCAACCAAAACCCAAAAUGGCUUUUCAAAGGCUCAAUCACAACCUUUAAUAAUGGAUUUUCACAGGAUCAACCAAAACUCAAAACUAACUUUUCUAAGGCUAAGUUAGAACCUACCACAGCAACCAAGCUAACCCAAGCUUGAUCAACCCCUUAGAGUGCCCUACACACUCUAAGUAAUCAAGAAAUGAAGAAAAGAUGAAGUACAAUUGAUCACCUAGUUGAUCUAAGAUGUACAAAGCUAAGCUCAAACACUUUUUCAAAGGAUAAGAGUGAAAUACAAGUGUAAAGAGAAGGUUUUUGGUCUUUUAAGCUCCAAAUCACUAUGGAUAGCUUUUCUCUCUUGUUUUUGACUGUUAGAGAGGCUUUAAAUACUUACAAAAUCAAUUCUGGCCAUUGGAGAUAGAAACUAGCCAUUUUUAGCUGUUAUUUUGUCUUCUAAUGCUCAAUUUAAAUUUUCUGGCAGAAUGAUCUUAGUCGACUAACUGAGCUCUUAGUCAACUAAGUUGUCUCUGUCUUCUGAUCCUAGUUUUUGACAAUGAGCUCUUAGUCAACUAACUUCUUUUUUAGUUGAUUAAAUUGUUUCUAUCUUGAAGUCCAGAUUUCUGGCAGUAGGCUUUUAGUCAACUAACUUACUUCUUGGUCAACUAAGUCUUCUCUGUUUCUGAACUAGCCAUCUUCAUUUUUGAGUUAUUAAUUUAUUAUUGACAUACAUUUUGUCCUGCACACUCAAGUAGUAGAGUUAGACAUAAAUGAAUGGCAAUGUUUUAUUAUCAUAAAAAACUUAUGGAGCCAACAAUCUUCCUUCUUUUUUUUUUUGGAUGACGACAAAACAUUCCUUGAUUAAUAGCACAAUGUCUAUUAACUCUUUUUGUUCUGCACAAGAUGAGGAAUUUCUCCCCUUGAGUGUGUGUGUCACGACCCAAAUUUCAGGCCAUGACCGGCGUAAGGGCCCAAUAGACGUAGUCCAUUAAGCCCAAGCAAGCCUAUUAAUCUAACAUGUUCAUCAUUCCAUCAUAAACUGCUAAGUCAUAUUUCAUAACUUAGAAUCAAAAUAAUAUUAGACAUUGCCACCUCAUAUUGGCAUACCAAACAAGUGUAUAUACAUUAUCUACAACAUGUAUCUUAAUAAUUUACAUUAGGUUUGUCUACACACAACAAAAGAAUACUCGACUUCCAGCGAAGAGACUCGGACUAAUGUACAGCUACUGAAUGCCGAGACACCUACCAAAAGAUGGAUACAAGUCUACAAGGACACCUCGUCCUAGUUAUUGGCUACCUCGUGAUCUGAAAACAUGAAGUUGAAAAUGGUGAGUAUAAACCCAGUGAGUGAACAAGGAAGGGAACAAGCAACCACAAGGGAAAUUUAAAAUCAUGAUGCACUUGUUUCAAAACAAUGCAAUUUAGUUCCAUUCAUAUUAAAAAACCCCUCAUCAAGCCCUUAAAUGAUUAAUCAUUUGAAAAUCAUGAACCCAUACAUAACGAACCAUUUGAAAAAUGAAAGCUUCAAUGAUACGCAAGCAAGUCAAAUGUGACAACAAAUCUUUGCUGCAGCGACGUUGGGAUUAAGUUACUAGCUGAACAAGGGUUUCUCAACUGGCCGAGGGUUUCUCACUAAACCUCGUCAUUUUAAACUUAACUCAUUUAGUCCUUAAUGUUGAAAGUCCAUGCUCAGAUAUGGUAACAAAGAAGUGAAAAAUAGGGCAGCAAUUGGACAAGAUAGGGGACAAAACAGAAAGUUUUUCACUGCAGUGAGAUUCAAUCUCGCUGCAACGAAAUUGUGACCUAAAAACAGAAAGUUUCUUGCUGCAACGAGAAUGAAUUUCGCUACAGCGAGAAGCUACAGUGUCAUUCUCACUGCAGUGAAAAUGCAUUCUCACUGCAGUGAGUUUUCAGCCAAUCUACCCCUCCAAACCCGAGAGUUUCUCGUUGCAGCAAAAAUGAUUCUCGCUAUAGCGAGAAACAGGGCACCAAUGAAAAAUUUUCCCUUCUUCCUAAAGAAAAACCACCCUGCUAAAAUGUCCAAACCAACAUGAAACGCAUGACAAUUUUCCAAGUUUAACAUGUCAAGUUUCACAUGCAUUACAACCAUAUACCAUUACUAAUUAAUUUCCUAUAACACACAUAUUUACAUAUGUAUAUAUGUAUAUGUAUACCCAUCAUCAUCAUGCACACCAUCCCAUCAUUAUGCACACCAUCCCAUCAUCAUCAUACACACCAUCACAUCAUCAUCAUCACCAGCUCAUGCACACUCCCUACUCGCACAUGGCUAGGUCAUCAUCGGGUUAUGCGCACUCCCUACUCACACAUAACCGAGUCAUUCUUGGCUUAUGCGCACUCCCUACUCGCACAUAGCCGAGUCAAUAUAAUUACACAACACUAUAGUCAAACACAUAUGUAUAUCAACAUAAUGCUGCAACAUAGAGAUCCAUGAUAACCACAUGUCAUAACAUAUAAUUGAUUUAUCAAAGGCUUGUUCCCAAGGCACUUGUUUUAACCAAAGUUGUAUAGAAUCAUUAAAAUACUUUGUACAAAACGGUCAUAUUCCCAAAACUAUUUUGAUAGGCAAUCCACUCACAAGUAUAUUGUUGAGCCUUUAGAUGACUUUAAUUCCCCUAAUUGUCCAAAUGGGAUGAUGGGGCUGUGAGACCUCAACCUCUAUAGGCUUGUAACUAAGUAUAGAUGUAAUAAUACGAGCCAGGGGUAGUUUCGUCAUUUUCUCUAAUAAGCUUCCAUAAGAAACGUUUAUGAUAAUUUAAGGCUUAAAUGGGUAUAAGACUGCAUAAAUGAUGUGUGCUGAUGAAAACAUGAAGAAAACUAGAAGUUUCAAUAAUUUUCAUAACAGGGGCAAAAUGGUCAUUUUUCACCUCGGGUUAAAACUUUAAGUUUUUAUGAACCCGAACAUGUCUAGACCAUUAUGGAUCUUGUCCCAGUGUUAAAAGAGUAAAAAGUUUGCAUAAAACAUUGGAGGAGAAUAAGUAAAUUGGUGGAAGGGCAUUUUCGUAAUUUUAAGAGAAAAGAUAAGAUUGCCUAUAAAUAUCUUGAAUUUCCAGCAACUUCUAGAGAUGUUCCAACAGCUGGUCUUCUUCUUCUUCUUCUUCUCCUCUCUCAUGUUUUUUCAAAACUCCAUGGAAGCUUGAUUUGAAGCUUGAAUGAUUUUCUCUCUCUAGCUCUAGUUUUCACACCUUUGAACCCUUUUGACUAGAACCUUUGAAUUCUUUCAUCCUCUCACUUUAAAACCCUUGAUAAAGCUUAUUUCCAUACUUUCUCUCACUAGUUGGGCAUUUUAGAGAGAGAAAAAGAGAAUUACUCUAUUGAUUUAGAAGCAAUUAGAAGAGAAUUUGACUACAAAGGAGCCCUAGGGUAAGUAAUGAACUAAGCUCGAUUUUUAGUUGCAGAAAAUGGCUAGUAAUUGGGAUUUAUGAGCUGUUUUAUUGUUGAGUAUGUUCAUUACUUUUAGUGAUUAAGAUAGUGAACAUAGAUAGCUAUUUAAUGUGGCAAUUGAAAACUAGCUAAGAGAUAGCUUUUAAAGUUCAUAGUGUGUAAAUUGAUCUAUUGUUUAUGUUAAUGUGAUCCUAGGUUUUAAGGAAGCCCCAUCAUCUCAUUUGGACAAUUAAGGGAAUUGGAGUCAUCUAAAGGCUUUACAAUCAAUUGGUGAGUGGACUGCCUUCAAAACUUAUUUUGGGAAUAUAAUGUAUUUGAUAAACGUUUGAAUGAUUUUAUACGAUUUUUCAUGAAAAUGAAUGUCUUGGGAACAAGCUCUUGAGAAAUGAUUUAUGUUAUGAUAUGUGGUUAUUAUGGAUUUCUAUGUGGCUGCAUUAUAUUGAUAUACAUAUAUGCUUGAAUAUAAUGUUGUGUAAUUAUAUUGACUCGGCUAUGUGCGAGUACGGAGUGCGCAUAAGCCGAGGAUGACCCGGUUAUGUGCGAGUAGGGAGUACACAUAACCCGGUGAUGACCUAACCAUGUACAAGUAGGGAGUGCGCAUGAGCUGGUGAGGAUGAUGAUGGGAUGGUGUGAUGAUGAUGAUGGGUAUAAGCGUAUAUAUAUAUAUAUAUGUAAAUAUGUGUGUCAUAGGAAAUUGAUGGAUAAUGGGUUCUGGUUGUAAUGCAUGUGAAACUUGACAUGUUAAACCUUGAGAAAUUGUUAUGUGUUUCAUAUUGGUUUUGAACAUUUCAAGCAGGGUGGUUUUNNNNNNNNNNNNNNNNNNNNNNNNNNNNNNNNNNNNNNNNNNNNNNNNNNNNNNNNNNNNNNNNNNNNNNNNNNNNNNNNNNNNNNNNNNNNNNNNNNNNNNNNNNNNNNNNNNNNNNNNNNNNNNNNNNNNNNNNNNNNNNNNNNNNNNNNNNNNNNNNNNNNNNNNNNNNNNNNNNNNNNNNNNNNNNNNNNNNNNNNNNNNNNNNNNNNNNNNNNNNNNNNNNNNNNNNNNNNNNNNNNNNNNNNNNNNNNNNNNNNNNNNNNNNNNNNNNNNNNNNNNNNNNNNNNNNNNNNNNNNNNNNNNNNNNNNNNNNNNNNNNNNNNNNNNNNNNNNNNNNNNNNNNNNNNNNNNNNNNNNNNNNNNNNNNNNNNNNNNNNNNNNNNNNNNNNNNNNNNNNNNNNNNNNNNNNNNNNNNNNNNNNNNNNNNNNNNNNNNNNNNNNNNNNNNNNNNNNNNNNNNNNNNNNNNNNNNNNNNNNNNNNNNNNNNNNNNNNNNNNNNNNNNNNNNNNNNNNNNNNNNNNNNNNNNNNNNNNNNNNNNNNNNNNNNNNNNNNNNNNNNNNNNNNNNNNNNNNNNNNNNNNNNNNNNNNNNNNNNNNNNNNNNNNNNNNNNNNNNNNNNNNNNNNNNNNNNNNNNNNNNNNNNNNNNNNNNNNNNNNNNNNNNNNNNNNNNNNNNNNNNNNNNNNNNNNNNNNNNNNNNNNNNNNNNNNNNNNNNNNNNNNNNNNNNNNNNNNNNNNNNNNNNNNNNNNNNNNNNNNNNNNNNNNNNNNNNNNNNNNNNNNNNNNNNNNNNNNNNNNNNNNNNNNNNNNNNNNNNNNNNNNNNNNNNNNNNNNNNNNNNNNNNNNNNNNNNNNNNNNNNNNNNNNNNNNNNNNNNNNNNNNNNNNNNNNNNNNNNNNNNNNNNNNNNNNNNNNNNNNNNNNNNNNNNNNNNNNNNNNNNNNNNNNNNNNNNNNNNNNNNNNNNNNNNNNNNNNNNNNNNNNNNNNNNNNNNNNNNNNNNNNNNNNNNNNGAGUAAUGCCAGUACGAGUUGGCAAUGUAUAUCACUAUUUUGAUUCAAAAGUAUGAAAUAUGACUUAGCGAUAUUUGAUGGAAUGAUGAGUAGGAUAAAUCGAUAGGCUUGCUUGGGCUUAAUAGACUACGUUUAUUGGGCCCUUGUGCCGGUCAUGGCCCGAAAAUUUGGGUCGUGACAGGGGCUUCCUUGAAACCUACCAUCACAUUAACAUCACCAUUAUGUUAAUUCACAUACUAUAAACCCUAAAAGCUAUCUCUCAACUAGCUUUCAAUUGUCACUUUAAAUGAUUAUCGAUGUUCACUAUCUUAAUCACUAUAAAAUGAAUGAACAUACUCAACAAUAAAACAGCUCAUAAUCCCAAUUACUAGCCAUUAUUCACAGCUAAAAAUCAAGCUUAGUUCAUCACUCACCCUAGGGUUUCUUUGUAGUUGAAUUCUCUUCCAAUAGCUUCCAAACAAAUGGUGUAAUUCUCUCUUUCUCUCUCUAGAAUGCCCAACUAGUGAGGAAAAGUAUGAAAAUAAGAUUUUUCAAGGGUUUUAAGAAGAGAGAGUGGAAGAAUACAAGGGUUCUAGUCAUAAAGGCACAAAGGUAUGAAAACUAGAGCUAGAGAGAGAAAAUCAUGCAAGCUCCAUAUCAAGCUUCCGUGGAGGUUGGAAGCAAUGUGAAAGAAAAAAAGGAGGAAGAAGAAAAAGCUGCUGGAAAAUGGGAGAAAAAGCUGCUGGAAGAAAAAUAUUUAUAGCCAAUCUUAUCCAUUCCACUUAAAUUACCAAAAUGCCCCUCCACCAAUUAACUUACUCUCCUCCAACCCUUUAUGAAAUCUUUUUACUCCUUUGACACUGGGACAAGGUCCAUAAUGGUCUAGACAUACUCGGGUUCAUGAACGCUUAUAAUUUUAACCCGAGGUGAAAAAUGACCAUUUUGCCUCUACCAUGAAAAUCAUCAAAAUUUUUGUUUCCUUUUCAUUUUACCCCUAAUUUCAUCAUCUAUUUAUGCCUUAGGCCUACUUAGGCCUUAAUAUUGUUUAAACUUACUUUUAUGGGUUUGGUAAGGAAAUGACAAAAUUACUCUUGAUCAGGGAUAUCACGUAUACUUCCCUUUACAAGUCUAUAAAGGUCAAGGUCUCAUAGUGUGCCCCCCCUUAAUGUAUGCAUGAUCUUUUCAAGUUAUUUUGUUAUCCAACUUAGCAAGUCAGUUAAUUUUUUAUCUAUUUCUUAAUGAAAAUAACAAGCAUUGAUUCAAACAUUUGACAGAGCAUAUUCAUGAAUUGUCUUACAAGCUUGCAGAGCUACCAGUUAUAAGUAACAAGAUAUUAUCAAUAUUUUGACCAUUUAUACCAUCAUCAGCAUAUUAUCAACAAACCAUAUCCAUUCUAGAAUCAAAUGUCAUUAACAAGCCAACAAAGAUAACAUAAAAGCAUAACAAAAGUAAGUCAUCAGCAUCCAAAUCCUAACCAUCAACAAUUAUCAUAGCAGAAUGUCAAAUUCUAACCAUCAGCAAUUAUCACAGCAGAAUGUUAUAAGUAACUAAGUAUCACACACAUAAAUUAAACAUGAAGACCUAUCAAACUCUGUUUAACUUAGUCUUCCUUCUCUCCUUUUUCUUUUUCAUCAUUAAACAAGAUAUUCAAAACUUUCACUUAAUGAAUGCAUCAAGAUUUUCCUUGAAUCUUUAAAUCAAACUUUAAUGAAUGAGAAUUAUAAGCACUCAUGCACCUAAGUCAUACAAGCUUAUAGAUAUAGUUCAAUAACUUCAAGAGUCAAGCUUGUGCCUAUGUAAGAACAAAUGUAUGGGAGUUAAAUCAUUUCAAGAAAUUGUCAAGGAUUACUCAAAUAAUGUUCAAGCAAAUUUGAUCAUUUUGUCAUAAUCAAAACUAUAAUAAUUUUAAAGCUAACACUAAUAAAGCUAGUAAGGAAUUUGAGUACAAAAAGAUGAGAGCUUUCUCAAGAAUUAUGAACGAUAAAGUGAAGUUUAAGCUCAAGAAACUCUAGCUAAGAAAUAAAAAUGUGAUCUUGGUUUUCUGCUCUUGCUAAAAAAAAGGAUUUUUUUUUGUUCACAACUUUCUUACUUGUUUUUGCUAUUUUCUUUGCUUUUCAAUUCUUUUCAAUCUCUUCAAAAGUGUGUCUAUAAUGUCCUCAGAUUGGAUAUUUAUAGGCCCCGUGAUUUCUUUCCUUUUGGAAUGAAAUUUGAAUAAACUUUUAUACAUUUUGGCCAACUUGCACAUUUCUAUCGCAUAUGUAGAAUCGAUUCUUUGUUCAUGAGUUAUCAGUUCUUCAUAAAAUCUAAAAUUUUUUGUCUCUAUAGAAUUGAUUCUUCCUUCUUGAGAUGCCGAUUCUUCCACAACUUGGCUCAAAGGUGACAUCUUUACACUUUAGUAAAAUCAAUUCUUUUAUUCCAAGGAGUCGAUUCUUCACUAUGGUCUAGUGCCAAAAUUUGAAUUUGAGCUUGCUUUUUUGGCACUCCAAUCUUAUCCAAUUGUACCAUCUCUUUAUUCUUCACCAAGUUUAUGAUUUUUUUCAUUGGUGCUUCAAGAACCAAUAUCUUCUUCCUCCAAUAUCGAUUCUUUGUCUUUAGACUUUAAAUAUUUGAUUCAUUCUCACUCAAAACCGAUGAUUGCUUCAUGGAGAAUCAAUUUUUUCAUGCUUGAAUUCUUCCUUCUGCAUUUUGUUCUACUAGAAUUGAUUCUUGCUCUCUAAGCUGUCGAUUCUUCUCAAAUCUUGAAGCUUCUAUCUUCCAAGAACUGACUUUUUCUCUUAUUAGAAUUGAUUCUUCUCAUAAUAAGGGAAUAAAUUUUUCUUUCCACUCUUUUAAGAAUCGAUUCUUUAAGGCUGGCACUUGAGUUCAAGUUUGCUUAAAACCUUUUUUUCUUUGCAAGCUAAACUUCAGAAUUCUUAAGGAUUUUCUUCAAGUUUAAAAAUAUUUCUAAUCAUUUCCAAUUCAUGUUUAGAUCAAUCAAUUUUGUCAUUUCAAAACCAAGGUAAAGCUAACAAUCUCUCCUUUUUUUUUAUGACAAAAUUAAGAGCUAAAUUUGCUCAUUGAAAAACUCCUUUUGAAUUUAUGCUUAACAUUUGAAAAGAUCCCAGAACCAGGGUAACAUUAUAAAAAGGAUUUGAAAGGAUGUUCAGAACUCCGCCUGAGUUUGUGCACUUUUCAAAAUGAUUGCAUGAUAUUUUAAAAGCCCUUUUGAAAUCAUUGUUUAGGAAAAUCCAACCAAAUAUAUGAAAAGCUUUGGCAAAUUUACUCCUAAUAUUUUCCCCUUUUUUUAUGUAAAUAGAGUUAGAAUAAUGAGAAGAAAAACUCAUAGGAAAACAAAGCAUUAGUAGUACAAUAUAAAUACCAUUUAAAGACAAAGCAUAUAGACAUUCAUAGCAAGAUAGUUCAAUCAAUUAUACUUAUAGAUGUCAAAACAAAUAAUGUGAAUCUUGCAUUAUCAAUAUCUAAAUAACAAAACCAUUUAGAUCAAAACAUUAAUCAAUGAGACGUAUCUAUGAACAUGUAGAAGUCAUCCAACAAGAAUGUCACGACCCAAAUCUAGGGCCAUGACCGACGCAAAGGUAUUGAUGGGAGUUACCCUCUUAACCCAUGCAAGCCUAAGAUGAACAAUUCAAGUCAAUACUUGGAAUUACCUCAUGGGACUCAUCACCAUGGAACUGUACAUAAAACAUAUACGAACAUAUCAAAUCACAUAAGAUUAAAUCAUAUUAGUUUACACAUUAACGUGGCCAAAAUGAGAAAGCAAUAAUCAGUAAAAUAUCAUUUAUAGGCCAUCCUAUGGCAUUUACAUAGUGUGGCCAUUACUUGGCAAAUUCCAUAUACAUAUCAUUAAUACAAGACGUAAAUAUAGUCAUAUUUAUAACAGUCAAACAAAAUGACCAAACCAAAUAGGACCAACAGAGAACAACUCAAAACAAAAGGGCUAACACCUACUUGAUGCCAUAAGAUAACCUACCAAAAACUGAUCAAAGUGUUGGCUCUUCCCAAAGGACAAUGAGCCAAGCAACUAUUGAUAUGCAAAACAAGUGCAUCUUACAUUUAUGAGUUGUAAAUAACUUCAUAAGCAGAUACGAGAAGGGGGAACUAGCUAAACGGGAGAGUGUUUGUCCAAAAUACUUUUAAAAUAAAUGUAAAUAAUCUGAUUCAAAAAAAUAACAAAGUUGCCUUUCAACUGUAACAAUUUUUCCUAAGGGUUUAGGAAUUUAAUCCUAAGCAAAAUCAAGCAUCCUAUAGUGCGAGUUAUGUGCCAAGUAUGAUCACAUAUCAAACAAACUUCAAUACCAUCGCCUCGAUGGAUACAAACUUAUUUAGAAGGAUUUUAUAAAAUUUUGUUGGAAACCAUUCUCAAACCUUUGAAAUAAAAAUUAUAGUUUGUAAAACAUUCAAGUAUUCCCAAAAAAUAAUUUAUUUAUAUUGAGGUUUAAAGCUUUUGUAAAACAAAGUGUAGUUCAAAGAAAAUGAAGUAAUGUUGUUGUCUUUAGAAAAUCUUUGAGGAAAACGAAUGAAUUUCAAAUUAACAUAAUUUGCAUUACAUUGUGUAAAUCAAGUUUGAAUACCAUAUACAAAUGCCAAAAAUCUAAACAAAUAACAACUCAAGCACCAAGGUCGAAAUCAAUGUCAAUUCCAAGAAUCGAGGUCAAAACAAAUACCAAAUCUAAAGUCCAAAGUUGAGAUAAUAUCAAUACCAAAGUCCAAAAUCCAAAACAAUUAUCAAGCUUCAAUUCCAUAGCAUAACAUAUCAUUUCAAAUAAGUCGUGGAGCACUAAGUAGCAUGGUCAACUAAAUCAAAAUAUGUCGUAGCACUAAAGGGGUCGGAUACAUAAUAGUCACCAACCGUAUAUCAAAAGUGGUAAAAGUCGUAUCAUCUACCAAACAAAACCAAAUCAAGGGGGUAAGACUCUAUCAACUACCUAAUAAAAGUUAAGCAUUGUGCACAAUGACUAAUGUCUACUGUCACUAGCUAUAGGUCCAUAACUCAAGUAGGCUCCACUAAAACAUAUGUAUUAUUUUUACUAAUAUCCAAAUACUUGAUCCCACAUGAAGAGAAGAAUCCAAUCACCAUCCAAGAAACAGAGGGUUUAAUAAAAUGAAGUCAGGUGUACAAAGUCUAUUGCCAAGCAAAGUAUAUUCUCCAUCAUCAACAAAAUAAGAAUUUGAAGCAAAUGCUAAAUCAAAUCAUCAAUCUCAAGGCAAAUUGACCCGAUGCUAGGGUCUAUGCAAGGUAAAUAACUUCGUUUUAAAUUUCCAAACUUGCAAUCAUUCAAAUAGUCAUAAACAAACAUAGAUUUUUUAGGUAUCAAACAUUUCAAAAGGAUUUUUCCCCAUGCCAAAGCUAUAUACAUAGUAACAUAUUUACAUAAGAUAUCUAGAUUUCAUAAAAUAAUCUUAAAACCAUUAUUCAUAACACAAAGUCCAUCAAAAUACGUUGUUGUAGAAUAGGCAUGCUUAAUUAUAUUAAAAUAAUUAAAAAUGUUGUAUCUACCCACUUCUUGAAACGCGCUUUUUUUUUUCUCUUGGCACCUUUCGUUAAAAGCUUGACUUUCCUAACAACUCAAAUUACUCCAAUAUCACCUAAAAAUGAUAUUUAAUCAUCAAUACUCUCAAAGUCCUAAUAAAAUGAUAUUCAAUCAUCAAUUUCGUCAACAACCUUUAAAAAUUUCAUAAUACUUUGAAUAUCCAUUUCUAACCCUAUUUAAUCUCCACUUAUUUCUAAUUAUUUCCACCAAACUUUCACCCAAACUUCAUACCCAAUAAAUAAAAAACUUAUUUUACCUAUUUGUCCUCUUUGGUGAGCCUUUAGUGGAGAGAUCUAGCCCAAUCUUGAAAACUUAAAAAAUUUAUAGCUUUUAAAAAGAGAAAACAAAAAUCAUCAAAACUAAGUUUUUUGGGAGUGAAAAUCCUUACCUUUAGGACUUAGAAUCCAAGAUUUAUUGAUAAGUUUGAAGGUUUUGAAAGGUUUGAAAUUUGAGAGAAAUUGGGUGGCGAAAUAAGGAGAUAAGAGAAGAAUGAGAAAUUUUCAAGUUUUAAGGCUUUUAAGCUUGUUUUAAGCUAACUAGGCAAUUUAGGAUUGACUAUGGAGGGUCUAUAGUCAAUCCUGGACUAGAAGGUUUUGGUUUCACUCAUUUCCCCUUCACAAAAUUGACUAUAAAGGAUCUAUACCCAAUCUUGGACCAGAAUGUUCACUUUUCACUUAGUUUUCCUUCACAAGAUCAACUAUAAGCCCUCUACUAUUGGCUCCAUUAGUUUUUGAUGAUAAUAAAACAUUCCCAUUCAUUUGUGUCUAAUUUCUUUACUUGAGUGUGUAGGAAAAUUAAUGUAUGAAAUUAAUAAAUCAAUCUUUCAAAGUGAAUAUCAAAAGAAAAAAAAAGAUAAAAAAAAUAAGACAUGACUGCUUAACUAGAAGGAAGCUCAUUAGAUGAAUAAGGAAGAAUGUUGGUUGGCCAAGAUUCAAAUUGGAGAAAUGACGGGCUGAAGAAUAUUGAGAAACAGAACCAACUUAGUAGACUAAGAAAUGAGCUAGUCGACUAAGUGCUUACUGCCAGAACUGCCAAAAAUAGGGAGCAGAAAACAGAGACGACUUAGUCAACUAAGAUAUCAGUUAGUCGACUAAGAGCAUUCUGCUUGCAAGUUUGAAAUCUGCACUAAAAGAUAGAGUAACGGCUAGAACUGACUCCUAACUGUCUCCAACGACUAGAAAACUAUUAAACUGCCAUCAGAGAUGUUUCUCCAAGUAUAAAAGAGUCUUCCAACAGUUAGAAACUAGUUUUUAGAAGUUUUGGAGGAGAUUUGAGCCAUAUAGAGCUGAAAAACCAGAAAAUCUUCUCUACACCUUGCUGCACUCAAACGCCCAUCCUUGAAUUUGUAUUAUGCACUCAACCUUGUACCAUUUAGAUCAACUUGUGAUCAUAGGUACUUUUUUUUACCUUUUUUCUUCUAUUCUUAGAGUGAGAGAGUCACUCUGAGUAGUUGUUUCAAGUUAGGAUUGCUUGAAGGUGUUAAGGUUCUAACUUAGCCUUUAAAAGUUAGGUGUUGGGUUAUAGUUGAGCUUGGGAAAAACUAGUGCAAAAGGUUUUGGCUGAGCCUUGUAAAAGCCAUUGUAAAGCUUGGUGAAAGCUUGUGAAUUUCACCGAUUCUUAGUGGAUUUGUUGGGAAAAUCCUUGGUUGGAUAAUCAAGGUAGUGGAUGUAGGUCUUGGACCGAACCACUAUAAAUUGUUGUGCAUUGUCUACUCUAUUUUUUUAUUUUCAUUAUUCUGAAAAUUAGUUCCUUAUUUUGUCAAGAGUCGAUUUGUGCUAUUCACCCUCACUCCAGCACAUAUUAUUGGGACCAACAAGUGGUAUUAGAGCUAGCUGUCUGUUAUUAAGGUCUAACACCCUUUGAGAGGAUCCAAAUGGCUCAACUAAAAUCAGUAGUGGCUGAGGGACAAUCAACAAAUAGACCACCUCUGUUUGAUGGCUCUAAUUACCCUUAUUGGAGCACUAGGAUGUUAAUCUAUAUUAGAGCUAUAGACUAUGAAAUGUGGGACGUCAUAACCGAUAGACCCUUUAUGCCCUCAACCGUGAAUGUGGUGACAAAUGAGUUGAUGCCAAAUCAAAGGUCUAAAUGGACUGAAACUGAAACUAAGAAAGCUCAAAUAAAUUUUAAGGCCAUCAACACAUUACAUUGUGCCUUGACCUCCACUGAAUUUAAUAAAGUCUCAAGCUGUUCAAUAGCUAAACAAGUGUGGGAGAAACUUAGAAUAAUCCAUGAAGGGACUUUUAAAGUAAAGGAGUCCAAAAUUGCCCUCUUAACACAUAACUAUGAAAUGUUCAAAAUGGAGCCUGGUGAAGACAUCACUAGCAUGUUAGAUAGGUUUACAAACAUCACAAAUAAAUUGAGUCAACUAGGCAAGCCUAUCCCUAAACAUGAAUUAGUAAAAAGACUACUUAAGAGUCUACCAAAAAAUUGGAAGCCUAAAGUGACUACAAUUCGAGAGGCAAAAGAUCUAAAUGUUAUCACCUUAGAUGAUAUUUGUGGCUCUCUCCUAACUCAUGAGCUAGAGCUUAAAAAGGAAGAAGAAAAAGAUAGGAGGGAACCAAAUGAAAAAAAAAAGAGCAUUGCACUUAAAGCUAGCAUCCUUGAGGAAGAGCUGGAAGAGUUGUCCUGUGAUGAUGAUGAAGAGUUAGCUUUGGUUGCAUGAAAAUUUAGAAAGCUUAUGGGCAGAAGAAAUCGGAGACUGGAUAAAAGAGGGUUUAGAAAAGAUCAAGGUGCUUCAUAAAAAAUCAGAAACAAAAAAAAAGGAGUUGAUUUGCUACGAAUUCAAGAAACUUGGUCACUUCAAGUCCGAGUGUCCAUUUAUGAAAGAUGAGACUCCAAAGAAAAAUAAGAAAUCCAAAAAAGCAGUGGCUGCUGCAUGGUUGGACAAUGACACAUCAAGCUCUGAAGCUGAAGAUGAAAAAUCUGAGGAAAGAGCAAACAUUUGUUUGAUGGCACAAAAGGAUGAAACCGAGGUAUCCUCAUCCCCCUAUGAUAUUUGCAUUAAUGAUUUAUAGGAUGAGUAUGACAGCCUCUGUGAUGAAUUUGAAAAACUUUUUUCAAAAUACAAAACAUUAAAGAAAAAGGAUGCAUCUAUUGAAAAUGAUUUGGAAAAGAUGAGACAAGAGUUCAAUUCUGUUUUUGAGCAAAGAAAUAUUUUGCAAAUUAAGUUAGGACACUCAAAAACAGAUUUUGAAGUUUUAAAAUUAGAGCUGAAUAAUAAGUCUGAUGUUGUGCAAAAAUUACUUAAUGAAAACACAGCUCUCAAAUGUUUGAAAAAUGAAUCUCCAAAAAGAUAUGCAUACCACAAUAAAAAUUCUGCUAAUGCAUUACCUAGAUGCAAUAAUUGUAGUAAACAUGGUCAUUUAUCAUAUGAUUAUUUUAAGAAAAGAAAUGUGCAGAAAAUCAGAAAAAUUUGGGUUCCUACAGGAUCCUAUAUUGCAAUUAACACUCAAGAAUCCAUCAAAGUAUGGGUACCUAUAAAGAAAAACUGAAAUAUUGUUUUGUAGGUUGAACUGCACUUAAAUGAGACAUGUUCAAGAGCUCAACUCAAGAAGAAGCAGCCUUGGUACAUGGACAAUGGCUGCUCACGGCACAUGACAGGAGAUGAAAUGUUAUUUGCUCAGCUAAACAAAAGAAAGGGAGGUACCGUAUCCUUUGGUGAUGAUUCAAAAAGUAGGAUUCAUAGGAUAGAUACGAUUGGUAAGAACUCCCAAACUCAAAUCAGUCACGUGUUGUUAGUUAAGAGUUUGAAGCAUAAUUUAUUGAGCAUUAGUCAAUUAUGUGACAAAGGAUUUAAAUUAUGUUUUGAUUCAAACAAGUGUGAAGUAAUAGAUAUAGGUACAAAUAAAGUCUCAUUUAUAAGAAAGAGAUUGAAGAAUAUGUAUGUUGUUUUUCUUGAGCAUCUUGAAAUAAAUAAUGAAAUAUGCCUUGUUACAAAUGCUGGAAAUGAUAACUAGUUAUGGCAUAGAAGAUUAGGACAUGUAAGCUUGCAUACUAUGUCAAAAUUGAUUAGAAAGAACUUAGUUGUUGGGCUGCCGGAUUUAAAAUUUGAAAAUGAGAAAAUAUGUGAUGCUUACCAACUAGGAAAACAAGUUAGAACAUCCUUCAAGACUAAGAAGAUUGUGUCAACAUCUAGACCUCUUGAAUUAUUACAUAUUGAUCUAUUUGGUCCAAUAAGCACAACUAGUUUAGGAGGAAAAUCAUAUGGCUUUGUAAUAGUUGAUGUUUAUUCUAGAUAUACUUGGGUUUAUUUUCUUGCUCACAAGAAUGAUGCUAUAUCAGUUUUUAUAAGUCAUUGUAAGAAAGUUAAGAAUGAAAAAAGACUAACCAUAGUUAGCAUAAGGAGUGAUCAUGGAGGAGAAUUUGAAAAUGAUGAAUUUGAGAAAUUUUGCAAUGAAAAGGGAUGGGAUCACAAUUUCUCUACACCUAGAACACCCCAGCAAAAUGGAGUGGUAGAGAGGAAAAAUCGAACAUUACAAGAAAUGGCUAGGACUAUGUUAUGUGAGAAUAACCUAACAAAAUAUUUUUGGGCUGAGGCUGUGAACACAGCAGCUUACAUACUUAAUAGAGUCUCAAUAAGAUCCAUGAUGUCUAAGACACCAUAUGAACUUUACAAGGGUAGGAAACCAAACAUUUCUCACCUUAGAAGUUUUGGCUGUAAAUGUUUUGUAUUGAACAAUGGAAAACAGCCCCUAGGAAAGUUUGAUGCAAAAAGUGAUGAGGCAAUAUUUUUAGGAUAUGCAUUAAACUCCAAGGCUUAUAGAGUUUUCAACAAAAGGACUCUAAAUGUUGAAGAAUCAAUCCAUGUAGUUUUUGAUGAGUCAAAUGAUUUACAAAAGGAAAGUCAUGUUGAUGAUGAUGAUGUAGAAAUCCUAGAAAACCAAAUGGAAGAAAUGAGCCUAGAGAACAAUAAGAAUAAUGAAGAAAGCUCAUCUAGAAGAGAAAAUGAAACUCCACCUCUAAAAGAUCUGCAAGAACAAAAAAUCAGCAUAGUGAUCUUCCAAGAAGUUGGAGAUUUGUAAGAGACCAUCCACAAAAGCAAAUCAUAGGUGACAUUUCUCAAGGUGUCAAAUCUAGAAAAGUAACUAGGGAGACUUGUGAAUUUUCAGCUUUCCUAUCUCAAAUUGAACCUAAAAACUUUGAAGAAGCUGAAAAUGAGGAAAGUUGGAUAAUGGCCAUGCAAGAGGAACUUGACCAAUUCAAAAGAAAUCAUGUAUGGUCACUAGUACCUAGACUUUCAAAUCACCCUAUUGUUGGCACAAAAUGGGUGUUUAGAAAUAAGGUAGAUGAGCAAGGAAAUGUAGUUAGAAAUAAGGUAGAUGAGCAAGGAAAUUUAGUUAGAAAUAAAACUAGGUUAGUAGCCCAAGGAUACAACCAAGAGGAAGGAAUAAACUAUGAUGAAACCUUUGCACCGGUUGCUAGAAUUGAAGCCAUAAGGAUGUCGUUAGCUUUCGCAUGCUUCAUGAAUUUCAAAUUGUACCAAAUGGAUGUAAAAAGUGCAUUUUUAAAUGGAUUCAUUCAAGAGGAAGUAUAUGUAGAACCACCACCAGGUUUUGAAGAUUUUGAAAAACUAGAUCAUGUUUUCAAACUCCACAAAGCUUUAUAGGGAUUGAAACAAGCUUCUAGAGCUUGGUAUGAGAGGCUUUCAAAAUUUAUGGUUGAAAAAGGUUAUGAUAAAGGCAGCAUUGAUACUGCAUUGUUUAUUAAAAGAUGUUUAAAUGAUCUAAUUGUUGUGCAAAUAUAUGUGGAUGACAUUGUAUUUGGUGUAACUAAUGAGGCUUUAUGCAAGAACUUUGCUAAAGAAAUGCAGGGUGAAUUUGAGAUGAGCAUGAUGGGAGAGUUGAAGUACUUUCUUGGUCUUCAAAUUAAAUAAAGUGAAGAAAGAAUCUUCAUCAACCAAGAAAGGUACACUCAAGAUAUGCUCAAAAAGUUCGAUAUGCUAAAGCUGAAACUAACCUCCACACCAAUGAGUCCAUCCACAAGACUUGAUCUUGAUGAAAAAGGAAAGAAUGUAGAUCAAAAGCUGUAUAGAGGUAUGAUCAGUUCACUACUUUAUUUAACAGCAAGCAGACCAGAUAUUCAGUUUAGCGUGUGUUUGUGUGCUAGAUUUCAGUCAUAACCUAAAGAAUCACACCUAACAAUUGUUAAAAGAAUUUUUAGAUACCUUUUAGAAACUCAAACUUUAGGAUUAUGGUAUUCUAGAGAAUCAUCAUUUGAUCUUGUAGGCUAUUCAGAUGCUGAUUUUGCUGGCAGCAAAACUGACAAGAAAAGUACUAGUGGAACAUGCCAAUUUCUAGGUAGCAUGCCUAUGCCAUGGUCCAGCAAGAAACAAAGUUCAGUAGCUUUAUCUACAGCUGAAGCAGAGUAUAUAUCACUAAGUAGCUAUUGUGCACAAAUUCUUUGGAUUAAACAACAAUUGAAAUACUAUGGAAUGACUAUCCAUAACGUACCAAUAUACUGUGAUAACACAAGUGCAAUUAAUAUAUCAAAAAAUCCUAUGCAACACUCUAGAACAAAACACAUUGAGAUUAGACAUCAUUUUGUUAGAGACCAUGCAGUGAAAAAUGAUGUUAAAAUUGAAUUUGUGAAUACUUUGCAUCAACUAGCUAAUAUUUUUACUAAACCGCUGAAUGAAGAUAAAUUCUAUGAAAUUAGAAGAAAUCUAGGUAUGAUUAGUCAACAGGAAUUGUGAGAAAACCUUUGGUUCAUGAACAUGAAACAGAAUGCAUUUAUUCGACUAAGAUAAAUCUUAGUCAACUAAGAGUAUUCUGGUAGCAUCAAAUAAUAAGACUUAGUGAAUAAAAUAAGGAAAGAAUAAAAUAAUAUAAAGCAUGUGUGUACCGAGUGAUAAGGAAAGAAGAAAUACUGCCUAAAGUGAAUAACCAAAAUUUAGAGGGAGUUUUGAAAUUUUGAGCAAAUAGAAUAGGGCAAUAUUUAAGGGGGGAGGUGAAUGAUUUUCUAAGAGAAAUUAAAACUACUGACAACUUCUUUUUCUCCAUUUUCUUUCCCCUAAAACUCAAAAAUCUUAAACCAAAACCCUUUUCUCUCCACUUUCUUGCCUAUGAAACCGACUCAUACCAAAACUAAAACUCUCAAACCCAAGUCUGAAAUUUUCAAAAUCAAAAUGGCAAAAACAUCUCAAAGUAGAGAAAUCAUUGAAAAGAAGAAGGGAAAGAGACCAGUGGAAGAAGGAUCAAAAAUGGAAUUACUGAAAAAGAAACAAAAAAUCACGUCUGCUUCAGUGAAAGAGAUAUCUGAGAAAUUGAAAGAAAAGAAGCAGAAAACAGAAAAAAAAAAGAAGGACAAGGAAUCCACACUUAAGAAACGUACUAGUUCUUCCUCUUCUAAGUUCAAAAAUAGGAUGCAUGAACUGAGGUUCAGAAAAAUUGAGAAUGCACCUAUAACUUAUGGCAAAUAUAAUGACUGGAAGAGUUUUAAUGAGAACUUAGAAAUUCAAACAAGUUUAUCCAACUAUUUUAAUGAAUUAAAACUGAAAGGAUAUAGCACUUUUAAGAAUAGAUCUUACAAUGCAAGUCUGGUAAAGGAGUUCUAUUCUAGCAUUGCUUUAGGAGAAAAAGAAUUAGAGGAUUCUGAUGACUAUGUCGAAAAUGGUCUGAAUGUGUAUUUGAAUGGGAAAAAAUUUGUUGUCAUUGCUUGUCACGACCCGGAACUCCCAUCGAGCCCGUGACAACCGUCGCGAUGUCCUAAUAGACAUUCAUUACCUGAAAUGCCAAUCGAAACCUAGCAAGGCAUAACAUCAGUUUUCUCGCUUCCCCUAUGAGUAUUAGUUACUAAAUCAUGUUUUAAAGUGAUAUGAAACAAUUUCAAUUCAAAAACAGUCAAAGAAAAAUUUCAACUACACAGGGGUAUUUUGGUCAUUUUUCACAAAAAUUCCAAAACUAGCUAAAAUGUACUGUAUGAGAGAAAUUUACACAUUUCAUAACCGAAAAUAAGUUUACAUAUCUAAAACAUUCAUUUAAAGUGAAAUUAUAGCUACUGGAAAAAAAUAAAAAUAAUAAAUAAAAUAUUCUAAUUUUUCAUAAAACAAUUUUUAUAGAGCACUAAGUAAAUAAUUUUUAUAGUGUCAAAGCAAAAUAAAUUCCUACAUACAGUAGCACACAUAGCCAAGUAUUCAAAACAUUUAACAAUGACAUGUGGGCCCUCGAAUGACUAAAAGUAAUGAAGGUUGUGAAGCUACAAUUUUUGAGGAUGCAAGUCCAACUGUAGCCCUCAACAAAAUGAGCUAUCUACCGACUAUCUUGAGCUGAAAUGGGUGCAAAUGAGGGUGGUGAGAUUUUAUAAUCCCAGUGAGUAAACAAAUACCAUCUAAAAUAUCUAAAGUUGAGUAAAUGGAUACAGAUAAAAUAGAUUAGCAUAAAAAUGAUUCACAACAUUUCGAACUCAUUUUAGUAAGAUAAAAUAGAUUCAUUUCACUCAAAAUAAACAACGAGGCUUAUGAUUUCCUGAAAAGCUUGGCUCGUGCCAAAAUCAUUCUUAUACUCAGUUGUCAGGGAUACCUUGGCUUGGAGCUAUCCCAACCGAGUCCACCAAGGCUGUUAAAAAGUCAUGUACGCAUAAAUCAUGUUUUUAUUUUGAAAACAUAGCCUUUCCUUGGCGUUGGCUUAGUUCACCCUUACGUGGUGGUUUGGCGUAAAGUGAACUCUAAAGUUGUACCUAGGAAGUUACCUUACACGCCUCUCUGAUCGAGGUAAGAAUAUAACAGGAUUUCGUGCCCCUCAAAAAGACUGGUCUAUAGAACCCGCCCACUGUAGCAAGCUAAACCCACCAUACAAUAAAAAUUCAACAGCAUGACAUGGCAAUUUUAUCAUUAUCUAGCCUAUCAAGGUAAACAACAAUUUAUACAUUUUCAACACAAAUACUCAUCCAGCCAUUCAUGCCCACAUUAUCAUAAGUCAUUCAAUUCAAAACAUAAUUUACAAUACAGCAAGUAGUCUCCAAUUACUCCAUUUUCAAAACCAUCGUUCAAUUUCAAGACAAUUUUAUAAAAUCAUUUCAUUUAAUCACAUUUUCCAUAAAAUCACAAAAACGAAUUAAAAUUCACUUUAGAUAAUUAAGAUGAUGAUAAGGUUACUCACUAUUUCGGGAGUCAAAUUUUGAGUACUCCGAUUCUUGAUCCUCGGGUACUAUCGCUUUACUUUUGCCAGAAAGCUCACCACCUAGACAUAAUGCACAAUAAGCCAUUUACUACAUUUGUGCUAAACCGUUGCAAAACCAAUUCAGGCUUUAUACUAAUGCAUGAAAUGGGAUGUGAAAUACUCGGGUAACUAUCUAAAUACGGUGUUCAAUAUAAAUUCAAUUAUGUACCUAAAUAAAAUGAUAUUGGCCUAAUUCAAUCUAUCACCCAAUUAAUUGGCCAAUAUGUCCAAUUUAACUCCAUUUUUCUUCUAAUUCUCCAAACCAUCAAACACAAGUCAAAUAACAUAAAAUUUAGCAAAAUCAUCUUUCUCUUGGGAAUUUCGGCCAUGGUGGGUGCAUCAAUACUAUGAUUUUUCCUACUUGAUUUUCUCACCGUAAUUCAUCAUUUCCUAACCAAUUCACUUGAAAUAAAAUCAAAUCCACCAUCCACACUCUACAUGGAAAAAUCGACCAAUGAUGGGUGAUGGGAGGAAGUGAAUUUUUCUUGUUAGCUUUUCAUGCUACACAUCACUAACUAACUAAAAACACUAAAAUACAUUGAAAUCUAACCAAAUCAAGCAUCAAAACCUCCCUCUAAGUGUUCGGCCAGCAAGGGAUUCAUCAUGAAAUCAUGUGAUUCAACCAUGGAAAAUGCAAAAGAAUGUAUGGGAAAGGUAGAUCGCAAGUCAAAAUCAAGAAAUUUUACCUUUGAUUGCUUGAUUACUUGAAAUCCACCAAUUUUCUCUUGAAUUUUCACUCUAGGGUUUUUGUUCUUUCUUUUCUUCCUUUGUUCUUGCUUUGGCCGGCCAUAAGAAUGAAUGUGGAAGAGUUCAAAUUGGCUUUAUAAAGGAAAAUAUUAAAUGGACAAAAAUUUACCAUGUGUCACCAUUCCAUUGGUC